rnacentral:lncRNA from 1 species
AGUAAGAGUACCAAGUAUAUAUAUGUAUCUCUAGCAUAGGAAAAUGACUGGAGUGUUUCCCCAAAGUAGAUUUGUCUGUUGUGGGGGCCAUGGCAGUAUUCCAAUGGAACUGUAUGUGUACCAAAAACCAUUUCUUUCAUCUUGGCCUCGAUUCGCCUGAUGUGCCGGAAAAAGUGAAGUGUGAUGUCCCGACUGAAUCAUGUUCGUUUUCUGAGCAUAACGAGCUUUUGCUUGGUGUCUAAAUCUAGAUCACUCGAACACGCUUGUUUGUUCUCUGCGSUMCKAGSUUCUAGAACCCAAGCCGUCAGAACUUGCUUUGAUCCAACAGAUAUCAAUAUGUAAGUGGUGUCCUUGUCUUCGGCCAAAAUGUCGGCAGAACUGACACUAGAGUUGCAUGAUUUAUCUGCUAAUGUGUAAGUCUUUGGGACGAAGCACGUAUCUCUCACAGCUGACCCACCAACAUGCUCCCCCAGCAGCUUGGAUGAACACCAUCUUCCAUCACUACUAGCGGAGUACCUGUAACAAAGAUCAACAACAAAAUAUAUAAUAUGAUUCAUAACAGCACCUGAAAUGGACAGGUAUAUUGCAACCAAAAAUACCAGGGGCUAUACUAAACACCCAAGAACAACUCCCUAGUUGACAACUUAAUCAAACGAAGCACGGAAUAAAUCCUACGAAUUAAACAAAAGGGCAUCACGGCAAAAUAUCGCACGAACUAACUUGCUCAAAAAGCUAAAACUAAUUGCACAGAAAAAUCCCAUGGAUUUUUUCUACCCCGAAAACAUAUAAAAUAUGUGGGGUUGCACAACAAUAUAAUGCUACACGAAAAUGCGAGAAAAUAACCUAUACACGGGAAAAUAAACUAUCGGCAAACCCUACACGCAAAAAUGUCAAUGACCGCUCUAAAAUACAUGGAAAAAUGGUUUCUAAAACAUGGGCAUUUAUGCUACGGCAUUCGGGCUAUUCGAACAUGCGCGGAAAAAUAUACGGGAAAGAAGACAUAAAAUGGCAUCUCAUACACUAUUUCAGACUUGGUGAAAAUUACACCUCAUGAAAGUGCAGUUUACGAUCUGAAGCCAUAUUGACAGCAGCAAAACCUAUAGCUACAGGACUCCAGAUGGCAUGAAAAUUGACAACAUGCUAGAGAAACACAAGGGCUACAACUAACUCCAUUGGACCAACCUCAAAAGAGCUACAGAACAAAAGAUACAAGCAAGACAAGACAACAACAAAACAUACUGUCAACCUGACAUAAAACAAAGAGCUCAGACUAGCUCGUAGNNNNNNNNNNNNNNNNNNNNNNNNNNNNNNNNNNNNNNNNNNNNNNNNNNNNNNNNNNNNNNNNNNNNNNNNNNNNNNNNNNNNNNNNNNNNNNNNNNNNAUGGUUCGAGAUUUGAACGCACGGUUUAGAAGAUAAAAUAUUUUAAAAAUUCAGAUCAAUGAAAAAAGAAAACUUCUAGAUUGCAACAAAUGGCACACAUGCAAUGUGCCACAUGUUUCACCUAAAAAGGUGAAAAUGAAAUUUGGAAGGAGUACUACUCAAUUACAGAUUUCGAAAGGAAGGACUGGGAGUGGGUGAUCGAACCCUGGGUCUUCAAGGUGGAAGCAAAAAAACCAACCAGUUGGGAUGGUUACAAACGUAUGAUUUACUAGCAAAAGAGCCCGCCUUCUAAUGCUGCACGAUAGAAAACACAUAAACAUUAACACACCAAGUGUAGGUAAACGUGUGAAAACAUACUGAAUUAAUAAAAAUAUGCUAAUAAUAUAAAACACCUCUUAAAGUGGCCUGUSUACGAGYAGCUGUGCUCAUUGUGUUAACUACUUAGUCAUGAUGGAGCUUAACACAUAAGCACUGUUCUAUUUUUUAACAUUGGGAGGGAGGGAGAGAAUAGCAGAAGGCUGGUGGAGAAAACAGGGUUUCAAAUGAAGCCCAAAAACAUAUAUGUCUGUCUCGAAUCAAGCAGCAUUUUAGUAGGAAUUGUCUAAUGGCACUUGGAUAUUUUAAAGAAACUGUUAUCAAUGUAGUUUGAUGAAGAAAUAUGAUGUAGUUUGAUGUAGUUUGAUGAAGAAACAUGAUGUAGUUUGAUGAAGAAACAUGAUGUAGUUUGAUAAAGAACCAUGAUGUAGUUUCACCCGCGGACGUUUUUUCUUUAAAUUUUACAGUUUCAUAUACGGNNNNNNNNNNNNNNNNNNNNNNNNNNNNNNNNNNNNNNNNNNNNNNNNNNNNNNNNNNNNNNNNNNNNNNNNNNNNNNNNNNNNNNNNNNNNNNNNNNNNUCUAAUCUAGAGAAGAGAGAUUCCAAGGGCCAAGAUUCAUCUAUUCUUGUCACGAGCAAGAAACUGUUAGCUGAUCCUGCUGCUUCUGCCGAGCCGAUUGACGGGUCUGCUGUUCUGGAAAGAGACUUAAUGGCUGCUGAUUCAAAUGUCCAAAAAGAACUGUGCAGCAAGCCUACUCUUGUCACGAGUGAGAAGGUGGUGGUUGAACCUGCUUCUUGUGCUGAUGUCUCUGAUGUCUUGGAAUCAGUAUUUAACCUCGAGAAAACAGGUUUGGAAGGUGAACAUUCAAAUAUUCAGAAGGAAUUGUAUGAGGAGUCUGCUCUGGUCACAAGGGAGAACGUGGYWACUGAKCCUGCCAUCUGCGCUGGGUCAGUACAUGUGUCUGAUGUCCUGGAACCAGUAUUUGACUUGGAGAAGACAUAUUUGGGAGGUGAAGGUUCAGAUAUUCAAAAAGAAUUGCAUGAAGGGUCUACUCUUGUUACAAGAGAGUACAUGGCGGUUAAUCCCGCCCCUUGCCCCGAGUCGACAGAUGUGUCUUUAACAGAACAAAAUCGUGGAACUUUGUGCAUGGAUACGCUAGCAGCAAUAGAGCAAUUCAUGACCGCUUCACCGGAGGAAGAACCACAAUGCUCUAGCCCCAAGGUUCCAAAGCGGUGCCUUCAAGAAGGGAACGACGCCUUGAGCGCCGCCGCCGUCCAACAAAGUUAAGGCUUUCGCCCGNNNNNNNNNNNNNNNNNNNNNNNNNNNNNNNNNNNNNNNNNNNNNNNNNNNNNNNNNNNNNNNNNNNNNNNNNNNNNNNNNNNNNNNNNNNNNNNNNNNNAAUAUAUCCUUCCUCUUGCAAGACGAACUAGCGGCGUUCACAAUCAUCGUCACAUAUCCAAAGAAAUCCUCAAUGGAAGAACAACAUCUCGAGACAGCAACAACUACAAGCUGCAAUCGAUGGGCAAAACAAUGCAUAUAGAAAGCAUAUGGGUUUUCAUCUCGGACAAGUUCUAUGUGCAAGCAUCAAACCACCAAUUUUUUUUGAUUACUAGUAGAAACAACAGGUGUAUCGUGGAGAAGAUAAAUACGUUGUUGGUAGACAUGUCGCCAAAAAGUAGGCCCGUGAUUGUUGUAGAACCAAAUAACAUUGCCAGUAGUGUACAUGGGAGGCUAYGAKCAUUGUCUACGAAAUGGAAAUGUGAUCAACAUCGUUGGAGGUAGAAUGACAACAUUUUCACAGGUUUUGAUGCAGAGUUGGUACUAGCUGGUCUAGCACACAGAAGUGGAAUAUAAAUAGAAAAAAAAGUUAGCUCAUGCCAUGGCAACCCAAUAGUGGACUUUGUAGGCAUCAUCUCUAAAGGGGGCGAACCUUCCACUGUCAUUUUAGGAGGUAGUUGUAUACAGUAUACUAGUAAGUUGUUAGCAGGUGGCGAAGACUCAACCCAAUGAACGUUGAAGCUCGCGGUGGUUAUCGUUAUGUUCUCACUCUCACCGAUGAUUUGAGUAGGUAUGGGUAUAUCUACUUGAUGAAGCACAAAUCUGAGACGUUUGAAAAGUUCAAGGAAUUUCAGAGUGAGGUUGAGAAUCAACGUGACAGAAAAAUUAAAUGUCUACGAUCUGAUCGUGGAGGAGAAUAUUUGAGUNNNNNNNNNNNNNNNNNNNNNNNNNNNNNNNNNNNNNNNNNNNNNNNNNNNNNNNNNNNNNNNNNNNNNNNNNNNNNNNNNNNNNNNNNNNNNNNNNNNNAGGAUCAAUAUUGCUCUGAGUAUUUCUCUGUUGCCAAAUUUAUGGUUGCUUAUGCUGACAAUGUGCCUGCACUAUUGGGGAAAGAUCAAUGGAACAUAGUAGAUCCAGGGUUCAAACUCCACGCUCUUGUCAUUACUAGACCACCAGGAAGACCAAGGAACCAGAGGAUUAGAGCAGGUGAGGAGGGUCGUCUACCAAAGAAACGUGCUUGCAAAAAAUGUGGAGUUCUAGGGCAUAUUGCUAGGCUUUGUACCAAUGCAGUGGAUGCAUCAUUUGGAGAGGAGGAAAGAUGGACAUCAGCCAAUGCUGAGGAGAAUGCAACAGCAAUGGAGAUUGAAGAUGCAGUGGAGAAUGCAGCAGCAAUGGAGAUUGAAUAUGCAGUGGAGAAUGCAGCAGCAAUGGAGAUUGAAGAUGGAGUGGAGAAUGCAGCAGCAAAUGAAAUAGAAGAUUUUGAAACCAUGGCCUUUGAUGGUUUUGAAGCUAUAAGAGAGGAAGAGGAGGGGUAAUUGUUCCAAUUGUGCCUUUAAAGAUUACUGAACCCAUAGAUGACCGUCAAAUGGUCGUCAAGUGCUCGGCGAGUGGAACUACUCCAUCAGCACCUCCACGGGGAAAACACCAAGUAAAGCCCAAGAUCAAAAGGAACAAGAGUGUGAAAGAAAAGAGCAUCUCAACUAGGGAAACCAGGAGCAAGACUGUGAAGCCAGCUACAAACACAAAGAGCAAGUCAAAAUUUUGAAUUAAGUUGUUGGAAAAUGUUUGUGUUGUCAAUUUGAGGGCGAGUCGAUCACUUAAAACUUGGUAGAUUUGUAUUAAGAUGUUGGCAUCUUAAAACUUGGUAGCUUUGAGCUACUGUAAUAAUGUUGGCAUCAGUUGUACUAAUGUUGGCAUCAGUUGUAAUAAUGUUGCUUCUACUUUGGUUCCUUAUUUGAGUCAAAAUUCAAAUUUCCAUCAAAAUUUGAAUUUAAAUCAAUAUUUGAAUUUGGGCCAAAAUUUGGAUUCGAGCCAAAGUUGAAGUUGAACAUUGGAGGUUCAUUGCUCUGUGCGGUGUAUUUGAUCGAGCAUUUCAAGUCCAAUAUUCUUAGGUGAACAGUCCGAAUGAGAAAUGUGCUAGAAACGAGCUCGAAAGCUAGGGUAAACAGCCCUAUUUGAAAUCAAGUUUUUUUUAACCUUCCCUAAAUGAGACAUAUAUAUUUUUAUUAACACUUAUUCCAUAUAUAUAGGGUAAAAACGAAGUCUCACUAUUUAUUGAUUAAUAUUCAUAUUACUACAUUUUUUUGAAAAAAUAUGUUUUUAAUUCAAAAUCGUUAAAUAACACGUUUUAGAUAUGAAAAUGAAAAAGUAAGUUCAGAUCCUUCUUAUUCACUCCAAAAUGAAGCUAUGGAGAUUUUUCUGAUUUUUUUUGAAUUUUUUUUCAAACCCUAAACCCUCUCUCCCUAUUCUACGAACUCUAAAAAUGUUCAUAGGUGAUAACUCAUUUUUGUGAAGGCUUUUUUCAUGAAAAUGACCUACACCAAGUUUAUAUUUUUUUUCUCAUAACCUGGUCACAUAUGACGGUAUGUGCGUAAAAAUUACAACAUUUUGAUUUUUUUUGAAUUUUUUAAAAACAUUUGAACUUGAUUUUGACAGGUCACUUCAAAAAAUGACUUUUCAAAAAAACGCCCCUAUACCGAGUUUAUAUUUUUUUAUGGUAACUAGGUCUCAUAAACAGACGAACUACAUUUGUUUUAUAUUUUUGCGAUUUUUUCUAAUUUAGUUAUGGCCAUUUGAAAUCUGGUCAAACCCUAAUAACCCCGUUGACUCGCCCAUAAACCCGCAAAAAUGCUCCAAACCCUAGCGUCGAACGUCCGUCGUCGGAUCAUACCCUAGCGCCAAACACCACCCGUCAGAUGUGGGCAGGCAUGCGCGAUCCGCGUGAUGCAUCCUGAUUGGCUACUGCACUGACCUUCUCGGGUUUUUACGAUCUGCCCCACUUUACAUAUGAAAUUGUAUUUUUCGCACAUGACCACCACAUGUCAGUGUUAAGAGUUGGUUCAAAUAUUCAAACUGCAAAAUACAAUGUGGCAAAUCGUCAAUAUAGCUUCCCCUUCUCCUCUCUCCAUGUAACAGACAAAGGCAUCGAGCAGAUCGAGCAAUUCCUUUGUUUCUUUCCCCAUCUUCUCGUUCUUCUUCCUCUCGACCAAUUCCUCUGUUUUUUCCUCUCGGGCGAUAUGUCGACCUCCUCGUCAGCCCCCCGUUCCACGUGGCCGGUGUAUGGUCCAGUGCCGAUGACUCGAUGCACUGACUGCCCAUGGAUUGCACCACUGAAGCGGUUGACUUCGAAGGAGGAGAAGAAUGGGAACUUUGGGUGCGAGUUCGUCAAAUGCGAGAGCAAGCCGGAGGGGCAGGUUAGAUCUGAGUUUUCCUCGCAUCCUUUAUCUCUGUUAGAUUUGGAUUUAGGUUACAUGAUUUCAUUUCCAGAUCGUGAAGAAAUGCCACCAUUUUGAGUGGAUGGAUGAUUACAUCCAGAGGCUUCAAGGGUUGGGCUUGCUGGAUUCGAGGGGGGAUGCAAUCCGCGAGUUCAAUCUGCCCCAUGACAGUGCCGCUCCGGCAGCAGUAGUGCGUCCGGAAUACCCGACAGUGGUAGAUGUCGAACAGAAGACGGAAUUGAAGAAGAUGAACAAGAACUUCAAGCAGCUGAUUGAGUUGAAGAAGCAAUCCAAUUUGAUAGCUUUAGGAAUACUUGCUCUAGGAAUUUUUUACUUGAUGGCCAUCUCUCAUUAGAGAUGUUUGUCUACUGUUGUUGCAACUGUUUAGCAAUCCUCGUCUGUUUAUCUCAAAUGCAACUCUGUUUAGUGCAACUGUCGAUCUCUGAAUGUAUGCAGUUUACUGUUAAGUUUCGACACUUUCAGUUUCAACAGAAGACAACUACCAGUUCAGUGAUAGGAUUAUUUCGUUAGCUAAUAACCUCGAGUGUUGGGUCAUACCCUAGCUCGUCAGAUGACAGUAAGCAGUACUUGAGCAGCACGAGGGAUAUACAUCAAGUUCAUCUCUUCUCUCUCGCACUUGCCAAACUUUUGUCCUCGAGUUCGUCAGUUCUGCUAGAAAAAAACCUAGUUUGCGGGCCCAAAGAGAAUCAAGCUGCAAUAGGCCCACAAAGGAUAAAUGAGGCCCAGAAACAAGUGAUGUUUCUUUUUUUGUUUAGGAACGAUUGCUUUGUUCUUUUUUGUUUUUUGAUUGCUUUUUUCAUUAAUUUGAUUGCCCAAUCUCUUCUAUCUCAUUGAGGAAUUAUUUUGGCUUUCCUUUAUGGGUCCCUUCAUUUAUCCUUUUGACUAAAGCCAAACAUCUCAAAGUGUAGUUUUCUACAUAGUGUAAUUUAUACUUCAUGUUUGGAAAAAGAGGUCCAACCAUACUUCAAACAUAGUGUAGUUUUCUACAUAUUAAAGUAGGGAUUAAAGUACAUAAAACUACACUUUUGACUAAAGCCAAACAUCUCAAAGUAUUUGAUACUUCAAUAUUUCUGAAAACCAAAGUAUUCUUGGAACACCUAAAAAAUAGAGAGCUCAGCAAACCAAAGCCGUGUACAAAUGUACAAUAUGUUCUUAUUUUUAGAAGGCAUCUAUAAACACAUCAUUUUUAGUUAAUUUGGUUAAUUUUUCCCACGCCAAUUAGCCGUGUCUAAACUUGGGACAAACAAAAUACAAACAUAACAAAGCAUUAAUAUAACACACAUAACUUAACUUAGAUAGGGUUGCUAGGGCAACAUAUAUAAGUUCUUGGGACAUAGACACCAAUUUCUUACAUAGAUAAUAAUAAUUAGUAGCUAGGUCGGGCAACACACACACCAAACUAAUACUACAUACUACUAGAUAGGGUAGCUAGGGCAACACCGCCAUGUCUUCACCGUCGUCUUCACCUUAACCGUCGGCUUCACCGUCUUCUUCGCCGCCGGCUUCAGUAAUCCUCCUCCUCAAGGCCGUUGUCGCCGAGGUGGUACGGGAGGCUGUGCAUGCGGUCGCGAGCGGGGAAGAUGCUCUCGAAGUCGAUGAAGAUGUUAUAGGUGGUGAAUGCGAUGAACUCACACCCACACCAAUACACCUUGCCGAGCAGGUGGUAGGCAUCGAACCUGUUGGUGAAGUGGACGACGAGCCCUACCGGUGGAGCGUUGGCGUGGGGACGCUGCUCCACGAGGUUGAACAUGGGCGGCGAGCCCGCCGGGAGGUGGUGGAAGCCUGCACGGAGGAACCCCCGUGCAAGCUCAGUGCUACCCCUCCAGCGUGAGAACGCCCACACGCGAAGCGAUUCCUCGACGACGACCUUGGCGGGGUACCGCCGUUCCGGCAUGGUGGAGGCCCUUGGAACGUUGGGCUGUAGAACUGCAUCUUGAACGCUUCGCUGAGUGGAACCGCUCUCGCUUUUGGGGGAAGAAGAGAAGUGGGAGGCGCAGAUGGAUCUGUAGAAGAAGAGGCAAUGAAGGGCAGUUUAAAUAGUCGGGGGAGACGAAGUGGGUACACGCACAAACGGCGUAGAUCGUGACUCAGUGGUGUUGUGUGAAUCGAUGCGAUCAUCAAUGUGUGAACGUGAAUCGAAGCGAGCGUGCUCUGCGUUGGCGGCUCUGCGUGCUCUUCGUUGGCGGCUGCCUCCCCCUGCUGCGUUGGCGGCUGCCUGCCUCCCCCUUCUGCGUGCUCUGCGUUGGCGGCUACCCCUUCUGCAUGCCCCUUCUGCCACCGGCACAACUGAAUCGAGCGGCAGCCGUGCGGCGUGAACUGAUGCCUCGACAUAUGGACGCGAGCGUGCGAGCGUGCGUGCAGCCUGCCCCUUCUGCCACCGGCACGUAUGCCUGCGACGCGUGAAACGACGUUGCGGAGCGACUGAAUCCACUGGCAACCGUGCGACACGGAUCGAUGUGUGCGUGUCGGCGUGCAUGCAUGGGUUUAGGUCUAGGUCACUAGAUGCGUGCGUGGCGGUGUUCGCAUGCAUAGCAGGCUACAUCGAUGCCAAAUACGGGCAUGCAUAGCAGGCUACAUCGAUGCCAAAGACGGGCAUGCAUAGCAGGCUGCAUCCAUCGAUAGUAGGCUUUUUUAAUUUAUUACCAACAAACUAACGGGCCCGUCCUAUGAACACAAACACGGCCCAACCAGCGAAGCCACAGCCAUAGUCAACAGAGUUCAACAUGGCCCCACAAGUCAGUUAACGACCAAGACGGCAAACGCGUGUUAUCAACAUUUGUGAGAGUUUCAGCUAAGGGAGAGGGGAAAAGUGAGCAAAAGUUUGAAGCGUGGGGAAAACUGAGCACAACUAAGGAAUUGGGGGCACAGAUGGAAUAAGCCCAAAAAGUAAAUGCAAGAGAUGAGUUUGCGACACUUACUUGGAUGAGUUCUUGACUUGAUCCUCCCCGGCAACGACGCCAGAAAUUCUUCUGCUACGGUGACAGAAAUCCUUCUGUCGUCUCUUGAGCUUGCGUUGGUUUUUCCCAUGAAGAGGAAAGGGCGAUGCAGCACAGGAGCAGUAAGUAUUUCCCUCAGUUUGAGAAGCAAGAUAUCAAUCCAGUAGGAGAAUCGCGUCAAGUCCAGAGUACCUGCGCAAAAACAAAAGAGCUUGCACCCAAUGCUAUAAAGGGGUUGUCAAUCCCUUCAAGAUUGAUUGCAAAGUGAGAUCUGAAGGCGGAAAUUGCAAUGAAGAAAAAGAGUAAGGCUGAAAAUAUGGUGUGGAGUAGACCCGGGGGCCAUAGUGUUCACUAGAGGCUUCUCUCAAAAUAGCAAAUAUUACGGUGGGUGAACAAAUUACUGUCGAGCAAUUGAUAGAACCGCGCAAAGUCAUGACGAUAUCUAAGGCAAUGAUCAUACAUAUAGGCAUCACGUCCGAGACAAGUAGACCGAUACUUUCUGCAUCUACUACUAUUACUCCACACAUCGACCGCUAUCCAGCAUGCAUCUAGUGUAUUGAGUUCAUGACGAACAGAGUAACGCCUUAAGCAAGAUGACAUGAUGUAGAGGGAUAAUCUCAAACCAAUGAUGAAAACCCCAACUUUUUACCCUUGAUGGAAACAACACGAUGCGUGCCUCGCUACCCCUUCUAUCACUGGGUGAGGUCACCGCACGGUAUGAACCCAAAACCAAGCACUUCUCCCAUUGCAAGAAUCAUAGAUCUAGUUGGCCAGACAAAACCCACAACUCGAAGAGAAUUACAAGGAUAUGAAAUGAUGCAUAAGAGAGAUCAGAAGAAACUCAAAUAAGAUUCAUAUAUAAUCUGAUCAUAAAUCCACAAUUCAUCGGAUCUCGACAAACACACCACAAAAGAAGAUUACAUCGGAUAGAUCUCCAUGAAGAUCAUGGAGAACUUUGUAUUGAAGAUCCAAGAGAGAGAAGAAGCCAUCUAGCUACUAGCUAUGGACCCGUAGGUCUAUGGUGAACUACUCACGCAUCAUCUGAGAGCUCAUGGUGUUGAUGAAGAAGCCCUUCGUAUCCGAAUCCCCCUCCGGCAGGGCACCAGAACAUGCCCCAGAUGGGAUCUUGCGAAGACAGAAGCUUGCGGCAGCGGAAAAGUACUUUCGAUGAUCUCUUAAUUUUUUUCUGGGAUUUUAUGGAAUUUAUAGGCGAAAGUCCUAGGGCAGAGGUGGCCCAGGGAGCCCACAAGCCUGGGAGGCGCGGGCCCCCUGGCCGCGGCUAGGGGGCUUGUGGGGUCCCUGCUGGCCCCCUGCCCUGAUUCUCAGGCUUCCCGAUCUUUUUCUGUUUCGGAAAAAAUCUUUUUGGCAGUUUCGUUCCGUUUGGACUCCGAUCAAAAUCCUCCUCUGAAAGGGGUCAAAAACAUGGAAAAAACAGGAACUCGCACUUGGCACUGAGUUAAUAAGUUAGUCCCAAAAAAGAUAAAAAAGGCAUACAAAACAUCCAAAGUUUGACAAGAUAAUGGCAUGAAACCAUCAAAAAAUAUAGAUAGUUGGAGACGUAUCUGCGGUCAAGAAUGUCCUUAAGUACCUGAAAAGGACUAAGGAGAUGUUUCUCGUUUAUGGAGGUGACGAAGAGCUCAUCGUAAAGGGUUACGAUGAUGCUAGCUUCGACACAGAUCCGAAUGACUCCAAGUCACAAACCGGAUAUGUAUAUGUUUUGAAUGGUGGGGCAGUCAGCUGGUGCAGCUACAAGCAAGACGUGUGGCAUCAUCUAGAUGUGAAGCGGAGUACAUAGCUGCUUCGGAAGCAUCUCAAGAAGGGAUCUGGACAAAGGAGUUCAUCACCGACCUUGGAGUAAUUCCAAGUGCAUCAGGCCCGAUGACACUCUUCUAUGACAACACUGGAGCUAUUGCCAUAGCCAAGGAGCCCAGAUUUCACACGAAGACCAAGCACAUCAAACGCCUCUACAACUCCAUUCAGGACUACGUCCAGAAAGGAGAAAUACAUAUUUGUAAAGUACAUACGGAUCUGAAUAUUGCAGACCCAUUGACUAAACCUCUUCCACGAGCAAAACAUGAUCAACACCAGAAUGAUAUGGGUGUUCGAUUCAUCACAACGCGACUAGAUUAUUGACUCUAGUGCAAGUGAGAGACUAUUGGAAAUAUGCCCUAGAGGCAAUAAUAAAGUGGUUAUUAUUAUAUUUCCUUGUUCAUGAUAAUUGUCUAUUGUUCAUGCUAUAAUUGUAUUAACCGGAAACAGUAAUACAUGGGUGAAUAUAUAGAUCAUAAUAUGUCCCUAGUAAGCCUCUAGUUGGCUAGCUCGUUGAUCAACAGAUGAUCAUGGUUUCCUGAUCAUGGACAUUGGAUGUCGUUGAUAACGGGAUCACAUCAUUAGGAGAAUGAUGUGAUGGACAAGACCCAAUCCUAAGCAUAACACUAGAUUGUGUUGUUCGUCUGCUAAAGCUUUUCUAAUGUCUAAGUAUCAUCUCCUUGGACCGUGAGAUUGUGCAACUCACAGAUACUGUAGAAGUGCUUUGGGUGUAUCAAACGUCACAACGUAACUGGGUGACUAUAAAUAUGCACUACGGGUAUCUCCAAAAGUAUCUGUUGAGUUGGUACGAAUCGAGACCGGGAUUUGUCACUCCGUGUGACGGAGAGGUGUCUCUGGGCCCACUCGGUAGAACAUCAUCAUAAUGAGCUCAAUGUGACUAAGGAGUUAGUCACGGGAUGAUGUGCUACGGAACGAGUAAAGAGACUUGUCGGUAAUGAGAUUGAACAAGGUAUAGGGAUACCGAUGAUCGAAUCUCGGGCAAGUAUCAUACUGAUAGACAAAGGGAAUUACAUACGGGAUUGAUUGAAUCCUUGACAUCAUGGUUCAUCCGAUGAGAUCAUCGUGGAACGUGUGGGAACCAAUAUGGAUAUCCAAACCCCGAUGUUGGUUAUUGGCCGGAGAGAUGUCUCGGUGAUGUUUGCACGUCUCCCGAACCCGUAGGGUCUACACACUUAAGGUUCGAUGACGCUAAGGUUAUAGAGAAAUAGUGUACAUGGUUAUCGAAGGUUGUUCGGAGUCCCGGAUGAGAUCCCGGACGUCACGAGGAGUUUCGAAUAGUCCGGAUGUAAAGAUUGAUAUAUAGGAUGAAAGGUUUGGACAUCGAAAAUGUUUCGGGCGUCACCGGUAGCGUACCGGGACCACCGAAAAGGGUUCCGGAGGUCCACCGAGAGGGGCCACCAACCCAAAAGGUGACAUGGGCCAAAAGGUGGAAGGAAAUCAGCCCAGAGUGGGCUGGUGCGCCUCCCACCAGGGGCCCAAGGCGCAGGGGAGAGGGAAGGGGGGAAAACCUAAGCCAGGUGGGCCUAAGGCCCACCAGGGGUGCGCCACACCCCUCCUCCCCUCCUCGCCGCCACCUACUGGCGCAGAUGGGGGCUGCCACACCCCUUGGGGGUGGGAACCCUAAGGGUUGCGCCCCCUCCCUCUCCCCCUAUAUAUAGUUGAGGUUUGGGGUUGUUUUGGGACACACGAAUCUCUCUCUCUCGGCGCAGCCCUACCUCUCUCCUUCCUUGUCCUUCGCGGUGCUUGGUGAAGUCCUGCUGGAGUUCCACGUAGCUCCACCGCCACCAUGUCGUCGUGCUGCCGGAGCUCUCCAGCAACAUCUCCUCCUUCCUUGCUGGUUCAAGGUGUUGGAGACGUCACCAGGCUGCACGUGUGUUGAACGCGGAGGUGCCGUGAUUCAGCACGUAGAUCGGAAUCACACCGCGAUCUGAAUCGUUGCAAGUACGACUCCAUCAACCGCGUUCUAGUAACGCUUCUGCUUAGCGAUCUUCAAAGGUAUGAAGAUGCUCUUCCAUCUUGCUCGUUGCUGGUCUCUCCAUAGAUAGAUCCUUGUAUAGCAUAGGAAAAUUUUGAAUUUACUACGUUUCCCAACACGAGUAACCCCCACCUCUCAGCACCAAGACGGCAGAAGAAGGCGAGGGGACAUAAAUUUCUCAGGCGGCGACAGUUGCACGAGAAACCCUACGUUUCCUAUGACACUUACCACUUGAGUAAUUUAAAAAGGGCAAACACAUGGCAAAAAUCAACCCAUUCCAUUGACGGAUUGCUGAAAUCAAAACCUCCGAGAGCCCAACCAAUCUCGUCCGGGCCCAAAGCUUAAACCGCCAAAGUACCCUACACCGGUAAAUCCUAUUUGGCGCUGCAGGUGCUGGUUAAAGUGCAUUUUUCUUAACCGGCGCAUGCAGUUUUCGGGCAUGGGCCGGCUCAUGUCACUUCCAGCGGGAGGGAGGAUUUUCCGAUUUUGAGAAGCUUGUGGAAGCUUCUUAGAUGGGUUUCUCUCAUUUUGGUUUUUUCAGGACUGGUUUUUCUUCGAUUUGUUGGUUUCUUUUCUUUACUCUUUUUAGUACUUUUUCAUUUGCAUUUUAUUUUAUAUAAUUUUUCAUUCUUGGAAAAAUCGCUGCCUUUUUUUGAUAAACUUUUUUUCAAUCGAACAAUCUUUUCUCUAAAUUAAUGAAUCUUUUUCAAAAAAUUAUGAAUUUUUUCUUAUAAUUCGAUGAACUCUUUUUUUUAAUAUCAGUGAACAUUUUGAAAUUUUGAUGAACUUUUUUUAAAAUGGAUGAAUGUUUUCCAAAUUUAAUGAACUUUCUGAAGAUUUGUGAACUUUUUUUUUCAGUUCAAUGAACUUUCCUAAAACAUGCAUGAUUUUUUAAAAAUUUAAUUAUUCUUUCAAGUUAUUGAACUUUUGAAAAUACUGAUAUUUCUUUUCAAAUUCAGUGAACGUUUUUUCAAAUUCUAUGAAUGUUUUCAAACUUUAUGACCUUUUUAAAAACAUUGGUAAACUUAUUUAAAAAUUCAUUGACUUUUUGUCAAAUUUAAUGAUUGUUAUUCAAAUUCGUUACUCUCGUUCUAUUUUGUGAACUUUUUUCAAUAUUAAUGAAUAUUUUUUCGAAUUGGUGAACUUUUUUUGAAAGAUUUGAUGAAUUUUCAUAUUUUUUGGGAACUAAUUUUUAAAUUCAAGAUGUUGUUUUAAGAUGCAUGAGCAUUUUGUGUUUUUAUAAUUUUUAAAUAGUAAUUUAAAAGGCAACGAUUGACCAAUUGGACAACUGAUCAACCGCGACAAUUUUAUUUUUCCGAAAUUCAACGACUAGUGUAUGAUAUCGAGCGACCACCUUUUUGUUGAGCCGGCCCAACAUGGGAUGCUGCAGGAGUCAGUAGCGGCAACGAGCGUCCGCAGCGCGGGUGUCCGCGGCGCUGUAUAGGAGCACCCGUACUCUGCUCCCACCCAGAGGUCCUAUCUGCCGUUCUUUGUGGUAAAAUGUCGACCCCAUGCAUAGGCGGAGAUCCCACUGGAAGGCCCAAGUUAGCGAACAUGAAUUUUUUUUGUUAAAUUCAUUAUUUCUUCCUUUUCUAAACUUUUUUAUUCAUUUUUAGUUUCUUCUCAACUUUUCAUGCUUUUCCUUUUUAAAUAGUACACACUUCCAAAUUGUUCAGAUUUUUUAAAAUUUUCAUGCUGUUAGAAAAUUUUCAGUUUCUCAGAAUAUGCAAGUGUUUUUGAAAAUUUAUUAAUAAAUAAAAAAAUAUACCCAUUUUAUAAAUUGAUCACAAAUUUUCAAAAAAUGUGCUUAUUUUCAAAUUUUCGUUCAAGUAUUAUUAAAUUGUUCACAUUUCCAAAUUUGGUUCCCAAAAUUAAAAAUAUGUUCGUCAUUUGAAAAAUUGUUCCUGUUUUCAAAUUUUGAUUGCAAAUUCAAAAAAUGUUCGGGUUAAAUUUUUUUUGCUUUUAGAAAAUGGUCAGUUUCUCAGAACAAGGAAGUGUUUAAAAAAGUUGUUCAUAAAUUUACAAAAUGUUCAAGCUUAACAAGUUGUUCACCAAUUUUCAAAAAAUGUUCUUACUUUCAAAUUUUUUGUUCAGGUACUAAAAAAUUAGUCACGUUUCCGAAUUUUGUUCCAAAUAUUGAAAAUAUGUUCAACAAUUGAAACAUUGUUCCCGUUUUCAAAUUUUGCUCACAAAUUCAAAAAAAAAUCAGGUUUUAAAAAUGUUGUGCUUUAGAUAAUGUUCAGUUUUUAGAACAUGAAAUUGUUUGAAAAAAUUAUUCUUAAAUUCAAAAAAAAUAUACAGUUUUAACAAGUUUACCACAAAUUUUCAAAAAAUGUUCUGGUUUUCAAAUUCUUGUGCAGGUAUUAAACAGUUGUUACGUUUCCAAAUUAAAUUCGAAAAAUUGAAAAUAUGUUCGUCAUUUCAAAAAUUGUUCUCAUUUUCAAAUUUUGUUCCAUUCUUGAAAUAUCUUAACAAUUUUUAGAGAAAGGGAAAAAAUCAAACUCCGCAAAGAAAAUGGAAACUCGAAUAAUUUUUGAAUCCGUUAACUUUUUAUGAAACAGAAAAUUGCUCCAACUUGGAUUUGUUUGUAAAACGAGAAUAUUUUUAAAAUCUUUGAACUUUUCUGAAAAAACAGAACACUUUUUUAUGAAAUCACAAAUAUAUUUUUAAACCAUGAAAUGUUCAUAAAAACGAAAAAGAACAUGAGAAAAUAAGCAUAAAAAACGAAAAAGCAAGAAGGAAAACAAAACCACUAAGAAAACCCAAACAUCCAGACAAGAAACAGAGCAGGAAAAAGUCAGUUAAAAAACCCGGAGAAAAUAUUCCAGAAUGGUCCUAAACAGAAAGCUGGUGCUAGCGUUCAGUGGGCCAGCCCACUCCACUCGCGUCUGUGCGAUAUGACGCAACGUGCGGCAUAUAGAAAAUUCCCUCCCAUCACUCCGCCGCCAUGGCCGUUGGCGCCGGCGACCGCUGGAGUUGACUGAAAAAAAAAGCAGAACCGUAUUCUUCACUCGUCGUCGGCGUUGGCGCAUUGGACGAUGGCGAGGACCACGCAUGAGUACGUGCCACAAUAUUUGAAUGCACACACCACACAUCGCAAAUACACACAAGUAAUCAAAGAAAAGAUGUGCCCCUCUGGUAGUACUCAAUCCCGUUGAAAGCAACAGAACAUACCAGGCAAUUAGUAGCUUGUAGAGCAUGUCAUGUUUUCGGCUGCAAUGUGCAGCUUUAAUAUAGGCUUAUUAAUUUCGUGAGUUGCCCAUUCUUUUACAUGGUUUUGGUUGAAAAGCUUACACCAAGUGAGGAAAAACCCAUUUUAUUCAAGCAUCAUCAUCAUUUGGCGCUGCAUGCAUAUGCAAAGGCCGGAGGUAAGGGAAACGCUUUGUACCAGUAGUCUCAUACGAAGCAAUCGGCAGACCACAUGUGAACCAUCGAUGUCCAAUUAAUCCCACGGUCAAGGUCUUCCUGAUACUAAAUUGCUAACCACCCAUAUUUAACGCAGGCCCUGGUCCCUUUCCCGUCAGGGUUGAGAUCUCUCCCGUCAAUCUCUCCUGAACCUCCGUUCCUCUCUCAUGGCUCUAUCGCAUCCUUCCUUUGAGCUCAUCAUCAACAUUGUCGCCCUUGUCCUGCCCUACUCCGCCACCCAGGUUGUUCCGUCUCCUGCGCAUCGUGCUCCCUUCCCACCUUGCCGGAGACGAAAUCCAUCGCCCAUGAUGCAAUCCACCACAACGCCCAAAUCUAAUCCCCUCUACCGACCUAAUACUAAAAGAAGCGGUCGCUAGUGACCUUGGUGGCGUGCCAUCACGGCAGUAGGUGGUCGUGCUCUCCAUCUUCACCGUGUUUGUUGCCCAUGAAGUGCCUGGACCUUGAGAUUUGAACCGGCUGCACCCGUAAGGCAGAGAAUCAGGAGUGGCCUCCAGUUCUUUUGCCCUAUUCGAAAUCCUUCCUGUGAUUCAAAAGGUAUUGAAUUUCCUGAUCCAACUUUCGUUCCAUCAUCAUCUGUCCCACGCACAGAUUCUUAUCAUAUGAUAUUUCCAGCAACCAUGCUUUUUAAACACUGGAUACGUGCUUCAACCUUGCUGUUUUGUUUGCGUCGAGGGGUGGAAUUGGUUUGUAGAUCACAAAUUGAUCGACGCACACACAAGUUGGCAACAUUCAGUGCUAUUUCUAGUUACAAAAUUACAUGCUCCCACUAGAUAUGAAUUAUGUUGAGAUAAAAACAAACUGAUGCUUCUUAAUAUCCAUGAUUCCUAACUUUGUUGUAUGUUUUCUUCAGUCCAGAUAGUUUGGGGCCAAAGAAACACACUUCUACUAUUUGUGUUGUCAAGAGAAAUUUUUGUGUUUAAACACUACCAUCAUGCUUCCUGUAUUUCAUAUACAUGCUGACAGUGGCAAGCCGAUUUUUUUUGUUUUUUAUUGUUGAAUAAUGCCAAAUCAAAUUUUAAAAAAUCAACGACGGUGUGGCAUAGCAUGUAUGAAGCGUACAUGCUUCUUACAUGGCAAUGUGAGAACCUCUACUUCAUCGCUACCGUACCAUAUAUGUAAUACUUGUUGUUGCUUCAUAUGUACCUUCUGUACUUAUGCAUCAUGGCUAAUAGAUUAUGGAUGUAUGUUUCAAGCAGUUGUGUGUUGGCCUUAGAACUGAUGGGCGCAGCCGUUGACAUAUAUGGAGGCAACUGAUGCCUACACUAAGAAGUGUGAUCAAUCAUGAUACUUGGAUCAGCCCUACAAUGAGGCCAACUGCAAGCGAAAGGAAUCAUGUCUACGGUCUAUAGGGAACAUACAAUUUGUUGACAUAAGGAAGCAUAGUAGGCAGUGUUGGUGACUUGAACGAAACGAAUUGUAUCAUGUAUGAAACUUAUUGUAAGAAUGAAUGAAGCAGGAAACAAACUUAUGUUCAAGUAGAAGCAAAUUAAUUUUACCAUGUAAGCACUUCUAUUAUUGGAUGGAAGCAAAUUUUCUGGUUGGAAAGUUGAUAAAAAAGAUAUAUGAGACCCAAAUUUAUGAUAUGAAAACAUAUUCUUAGAUACAAAUUUUGAUACACGGAAGCAAAGUGUUUGGAAAAAGAAUUACGUCCAAAAAAGUUUGGUUGUGAUUGAAGAAAAUUAUUUCAUCGGUGAAAGCAAGGUUUUGCUGCAUUAAGAACAAAAUAAAAUGUUACGCGGAUGCAUUUUUCAUCGAAGCAAAUUCGCUAUGCACUAGAAGCAAAAAAGGAAUUGUCUAGAAAAAAUGUUGAAUAAAGUACGAAAAUAGAAGAAUUUAGAUGGACUUUAAAUUAUAUCCUUGCAUGAUUUUCGGAAGAAAUUAAUUCAAGGAAGAAAAUAGUAUUGUAGCAACGUAAUCACAGGAGUAUAAUGUGGAAACUAACUAGAGGAGAAGUGGGUCAUACGUUGGGCACAUAAUCACGCCUUGCAAGUGCAAUCGAUCUAAUGGCUGUCCAGUGGUCUGAUAUACUGCUAGGGAUCAGUAGUCUGAUCCCUAGUGGUGCCCCGGAGGUAACCCUCCUUUCUUUCUUAAAGAAAAUCAAGCAUCAUCACACAUCAUUCUAUUCAUGACUAGAGAAUCUUAACAGCAACGACCCAUUUCCACUCGGCUAGGCUACCUAUAGUCCUUGUUCUUUUGAACCAUCAACAGGGAAGCUAUAUAUGAUGACUAAAUACUUAACGUAUUAAUUUGUAGUCAUCUAACCCGGUUAAAGAUAGGUCAUGUUGUCGUCCCCGGUCGGUGGCAUACAAUACCAAUACACUCUCUGGACUCCGCCGGUUGUAAAUGACCUGCAAAGGGGUCCUUCAAUCGAAAAGGCCAAAAGCAUACACUACCUUGCCUCUUUUGGACAGAGCUAGCCAAACCCUAUUCUUCAGUCGUUGACAUCGGCGUUGGCGCAUUGGACGAUGCUGACGAUCGCGCUGGUCACAUUGGCCAACGCGUUCAUCAUCCUCGCUGCGGCGGAGACCUUAGCCGCGCCGCCUUCUUUCGAGCCGAUUGCUGGUGUGCCUCCUGCUUCCGCACCGACUCCUUCUGUGCCACAUACUGCCCCACCACGUGUUGCCGCACCGACUCCUUCUGUGCCACAUACUGCCCCGCCGCGUGUUGCCGCAUCGACUCCUUCCCUGCCACAUACUGCCCCGCCGCCUGCUUCCGCACCGGCAGCUGUUGUGUCGCCUGCUGCCCUGCCGAGGUUGAUGAUGAACGUGUUGGGCCGCAGGUUGACGGCGAUCCAACGACCUUCCUUGAGCACCCGCAGCCCGGUGACCUGCUCAUCCAUCAUCAGGAUGGUGAGGGCGUUGUAGGUCAGCUCUGGCGACGGGCACUUGGGGUCGAAGUUGGCCGCCAUGUGCUGCUCCUGCUCGCCGAGGACCUUAUUGAUGUAGUCCUGCUCCAGCCCCAGGCUCUUCGAUAUCGCUCCGUAGAACUGGAACCCGAGGUCCCGGACCUCUUUGCAGUAUGUGCCCAUGGCAUUCCUGGUUCAUGCAAACACACGGCAGCUGGUUAACCAUAUAUAUGUCCGGUUGUAGAUGCUCUUAGUUUGAUACGUAUAUAGUACAUCCGUGGUUGUUCCAGGUGAGUUUGUUUGAUAACUUGCUCAGUCUCGUGAAUCAUGAGAAAAAGUGUGUGUUUGUUUGUCUGUUUACGGUUGAAUCUAGGAGGGAAAUGCUAAAGAAAUUAGUGGUGUUUUUGGCAUAUCAGUGACAAAAGAUGGUAGCUAAAACAGUUAGGACCGGUACGAAAUAAUGCCAAAGUAAUCAAGGAAAAGUACUUUCAAAGCAUUUUUACAGCAUAAGGAUGUGUCUAGGACACAUCUAGAUGUGACAUAAUUAUUACACAUCUAAAUAAUUAAAUCAAGCAUAAAAAAAAUACACACAAAUCUCUACAUAAGAUCAAUGAUAUAAAACUUAGAUGUGCAAUACUUAUCUCACAUCUAGAUGUGUUUUAGCAAAACCGAUGGAUAUGUCUAAGACACAUCUAGAUGCAACAUAGUUAUUACUAAUCUAACGAAUGAGAAACCCAAAUUUCAUUAGGGUGCCCCAUUUUUCUUUUCGAAGAUCCAGCAAAUACUACUUUCUCGAUACCAAAAUAUUUAUAGUAUUAAUAGACUAACUUAGCCUGCUAAAACUACAAAUAUUUAGGUACAAAGAAAGCGUUCAUUUUCUAAGGCCUUGUAGGCAUUUCACACAUAAUGCAAAACAGUGGCGUAUCUAGGGGGUAUGCCCCAGAAGUUUAGGAAGCAUUUUUUUUACCAUGUAAAAACUAGCAGAUUUUAAAGACCCAUCCAAAUCAAUUGAAAUAGACCUAACUUUUUAAAAGUGUGCGCACCUUUUAUUUUAUUUCUAGCUACGUCAGUGGUGCAAAACAGUUUAAUUUCAGUUGUCUAAAUGACUUAUAAAACUGAACGGAGGAAGUAGUUAUUUGAGUGACUUAUAAAAGUGAACGGAGUGAGUAGUUAUAUUUGCGGUUUUCUGGAAGUGAUGAAGAAAGAGUAAUAAAUACCUCAAGGGCGGCGGAUUGGCUGGCCCCUCCGCCGGCACGAACUGCUCGAGCGGGUGGCAGUGCAGCCGCAGGUAGUCGCGCCAGUUGUGGACGGUCUCCUUGCGCACGUUGAAGCUGGUGGAUAGCCGCAUCUUCUUGGGCGGGUCGUCGGAGUAGAGCUUGGCCUUCUCCUCCGGCGAGAGGCGGAAGAAGUCGUGCGCCAGCGCCAUGGCCGCCCGCAUCGCCUCCACCGGCAGCCCGUGGUUGAGCACCUGACGAUCAGAAACCACACACACACACCACGCGAGCACGCACUGUGAGCGAAAGCAGAGCAACGCCAUUUCCGGCAAAAACAGAGCAGCGUUAGGCGAAAUGGGAAUUGGAACCUGGAAGAGGCCGUGUGAGCUGCAGGCGGCGCCGAUCUGGUAGACGACGGCGGCGCUGUCGGGGUUGGCGAGGUCGACGACGGGGAUGUCGGCGUCGAGGCGCGGCCACUCGGACUCGGACCGGAUGUAGCUGUGGGGCAGCGUGUGCAGCACGGCCGUGGAGAUGAGCUGCUCCGCCAUGCCGGCGGAAGAACGGGGGGAGAGAGAGAUGGAUAGGUGGCACGAUCGUGGAGGGCGUGAGCAGAGGAAGUUCACGGAGAGAAAGAAGGAACGCCGGGGCUUGAGCAGGCGGGGGAAGUCGGAGGAUUUAUGGAAGAACGAGGAGAGAGAGAGAUCGGACGGACUUCCUCACAAGUGGUUCACAAAAAAACACGUGGAUGAGUGACCGUCCGUGAGUGUUCACAAGUGUGGACCAACAUACGGCUGUGGAAUAACGAGGGGGGAGAGAGAGAGAGAGAUCGGACGGACGGCUGUGGAUGUGGACACCCUCGUUCUUCCAACUUCCCCGAGCAGGAGAACAUAUGCCAUCAUACGUUCUACCAACUAUAAGGAUAGACAUGCGACCAACAUACGUUCUAUCAUGUGGACACCCAUGCCAGACUUAGUUCUACCAACUCACGAGAGGAUAGACAUGCGAGUGUUGACCAAUAUAUGCCAGACGAAACCGAGCAGGAGAACACCCAUGCCUGUGUGAUGAUGAAGCAUGAUAGCGCCAAAAAACAUACUACCAACUACAAGGACGAUACAACAUAGCGCACGCGUGCUAUGCGGACCGACAUAUGGCAUGAGACGACCACACCCAUGCCAGACGGCACGGCUCCUGUGUGUCUCUCUCCACGUCUGGCAUGUGCUAACAAAAAGGCAUGUCUAUCCUUCUCUCGUUGCCACGUCCCGACAAACACAACAUGCCAUAUGAAAACUGCCAUCCUUUCCCCUCACGUGAUCCUCCUUCUACAUCCCACAACACUAGAAAAACCCUACCGCCCUGAGCCCAGAUCCCCGGGCAACUUCUUCUCCCACAACAGUCGCCGAAGGCCACGGCCUGGCAUUGGGGAGCUCUCCUCCCAUAGAAAAAUCAUAGUAAAACAGGGCGGAACUAGAGCGAAAAAAUGUGAAGAAAAUUCUGAAAAAUGUAAUUGUGUGUGCAACUCUACUUGCUGAUCAGGCAACAAUCCAGGAGAGUUGUGGGCAAAAGCAUUUGCAAAGAUGGGCAAGAUUCUCCCACUGAAAAAACUGCAAAAGGUAAAAGAUCUGAUUCAGAAUUUUUUCGUCAUGAACUUCCCCCCUAAUAUUCUACUCCCUCCGUUCCUAAAUAUAAGUCUUUUUAGAAGUUUCACUAAAAGACUAUAUACAGAUGUAUAUAGACAUACUUUAGAGUGUAGAUUCACUCACUUUGUUCCGUAUGUAGUCAUUUAGCGAAAUCUCUUAAAAGACUUAUAUUUAGGAACGGAGGGAGUAGUUGCAAUAGUUGCCCCCUAUAGCAAAGUGUUUGUAUGACAUGACUUCCUACAAAAGUAUUUGCAAAGAUCUGUCCAGAAUUGUUUGGUCAUUAACUUCCCCCCUAAUCUUCUAGUUGGAAUAGUUGCCCCCUUAAGCAAAGUGUUUGUAUGACAAGACUUCCCACAAAAGUAUUUGCAAAGAUCUGAUCCAUAAUUUUUUGGUCAUGAACUUCCCCCUGAUCUUCUAGUUGCAAUAGUUGCCCCUGUACCAAAGGAUUGUACGCGAGGACUUGAAUCCUGCCACUGUUCUUGCAUAUUGUAGUUGCAAAAUCUGCCCCCGUGACUUGUAGAACUAGAGUAUCUUGUCUAUUCUUUUACACCCUGCUUCUGCCAAAAAAUGGGAAAAAGAAGCAUAGUUAUUUUUGUUACUGUUAGUAAUCUCUUUUGUAUAUUAAAAACUGGUUAAUAAUCUGUUGUAUUUGCUUACAAAAAAAAUUGUAGUAAAAGUCUAGUUGCUUACAAGCAACACAAAGUAGCCACGCAAAAGAAGUCUGAAAAAAGGGUUAAGCGACCAUUUUGGAACUACAAUAUGCAAGUAGGGUUAGGUGACCUAGGUCGCCGGGGUGGGCGAGAAGUGUCGCACCGCCCAUUCGUGUUGAGGCGNNNNNNNNNNNNNNNNNNNNNNNNNNNNNNNNNNNNNNNNNNNNNNNNNNNNNNNNNNNNNNNNNNNNNNNNNNNNNNNNNNNNNNNNNNNNNNNNNNNNNNNNNNNNNNNNNNNNNNNNNNNNNNNNNNNNNNNNNNNNNNNNNNNNNNNNNNNNNNNNNNNNNUGUUAGGCGACCUAGGUCGUCGGGAUGGGCGAGAAGUGCCACACCCCCCAUUCGUGUUGAGGCGACUUGGAAUGACGGUGGCCGGCGGGGCUUUGGGCGAUUUGGUUGUCCGUGUUAGGCGACCUAGGUCGUCGGGGUGGUCAAGUGCCACACCCCUCAUUCGUGUUGAGGUGACUUGGAAUGACAGUGGUCGGCGGGGCUUUGGGCGACUUGGUCGUCCGUGUUAGGCGACCAAGGUCACCGGGGUGGGUGAGACGCACCGCACCCCCCAUUCAUGUUGAGGCGACUUGGUAUGACGAUGGUCGAUGCUACCUCUUGAGCUUGCGUUGGUUUUUUCUCUUGAAGAGGGAAGGGUGAUGCAGCACAGUAGCAGUAAGUAUUUUCCUCAGUUUGAGAAUCAAGGUAUAAAUCCAGUAGGAGUAUCAAGAUGAAGCAUCGAUGUACUGCUAUCCCACCGACAACAGCGCCAGAAGUUGACACGUUAACACAGGCUGGGCUUGCGUUGGUUCUUCCCUUGAAGAGGAAAGGGUGAUGCAGCACAGGAGCAAUAAGUAUUUCCUCAGUUUGAAAACCAAGAUAUCGAUCCAGAAGGAGGGUCUCGUCAAGUCCAGAGUACCUGCGCAAACACAAACAAGCUUGCACCCAACGCUUCAAAGGGGUUGUCAAUCCCUUCAAGAUUGUUUGCAAAGUGAGAUGUGAAGGCGGAAAGUGCAACGAAGUAAAAAAGUGUAAGGCUGAAAAUAUGGUGUGAAGUAAACCCUGGAGGCCAUGGUGUUCACUAGAGGCUUCUCUUAAAAUAGAAAAUAUCACGGUGGGUGAACAAAUUACUGUCGAGCAAUUGAUAGAACCACACAAAGUCAUGACGAUAUCUAAGGCAAUGAUCAUACAUAUAGGCAUCACGUCCGAGACAAGUAGACCGAUACUUUCUGCAUCUACUACUAUUACUCCACACAUCGACCCCUAUCCAGCAUGCAUCUAGUGUAUUGAGUUCAUGACGAACAGAGCAACGCUUUAAGCAAGAUGACAUGACGUAGAGGGAUAAUCUCAAACCAAUGAUGAAAAUCCCAUCUUUUUACCCUUGAUGGCAACAACACUAUGCGUGCCUCGCUACCCCUUCUGUCACUGGAUGAGGUCACCGCACGGUAUGAACCCAAAACCAAGCACUUCUCCCAUUGCAAGAAUCAUAGAUCUAGUUGGUCAGAUAAAACCCACAUCUCGAAGAGAAUUACAAGGAUAUGAAAUCAUGCAUAAGAGAGAUCAGAAGAAACUUAAAUAAGAUUCAUAGAAAAUCUGAUCAUAAAUACACAAUUCAUCGUAUCUCGACAAACACACCGCAAAAGAAGAUUACAUCGGAUAGAUCUCCAUGAAGAUCAUGGAGAACUUUGUAUUGAAGAUCCAAGAGAGAGAAGAAGUCAUCUAGUUACUAGCUAUGGACCCAUAGGUCUAUGGUGAACUACUCACGCAUCAUCGGAGAGGUCAUGGUGUUGAUGAAGAAGCCCUCCGUGUCCGAAUCCCCCUCCGGCAGGGCACCAGAACGUGUGUGAUACGUCUCAAACGUAUCUAUAAUUUUUGAUGGUUUCACGCUGUUAUCUUGCCUCCUUUGUAUGUUUUAUGUACAUUUUUAUAUCUUUUUUGGGACUAACUUAUUAAUUCAGUGCCAAGUGUCAUUUCCUGUUUUUCCGUGUUUUUGACUCUUUUCAGAUCUGAUUUUGGAACGGAGUCCAAACGGAAUAAAAACCCCGAAAUGAUUUUUUUCCCGAACGAAAGAAGACCAGGGAGCCUUUGGGCCAAGCCAGGUGGGCCCUAGGGAGCCCACAAGCUCCCACCACGCCACCAGGGGGGAGGCGGCGGUGGGCAAGUUUGUGGCUUCCCUGGCCGCCUCCUGACCUAAGUCUUGCGCCUAUAUAUUCCCAAAUAUUCCAUAAAAAAUCAGGGGAGCCUCGAAAAAACUUUUUCGCCGCCGCAAGCUUCCGUUUCCGUGAGAUCUCAUCUGGAGACCCUUCCCAGCACCCUGCCGGAGGGGACUUUGGAGGUGGAGGGCUUCUUCAUCAUCAUCAUCGCCCCUCCAAUGACUCGUGAGUAGUUCACUUCAGAUGUACGAGUCCGUAGUUAGUAGCUAGAUGGCUUCUUCUCUCUCUUGGAUCUUCAAUACAAAGUUCUCCAUGAUCUUCAUGGAGAUCUAUCCGAUGUAAUCUUCUUUGGUAGUGUGUUUGUCGAGAUCCGAUGACUUGUGGACUUGUGAUCAGAUUAUCUAUGAUAUAUAUUUGAGUCUUUGCUGAUUUCUUAUAUGCAUGAUUUGAUAUCCUUGUAAGUCUCUCCGAGUCUUGGGUUUUGUUUGGCCAACUAGAUCUAUGAUUCUUGCAAUGGGAGAAGUGCUUGGUUUUGGGUUCUGCCAUGUGGUGACCUUUCCCAGUGACAGUAGGGGCAGCAAGGCACACAUCAAGCAGUCGCCAUCAAGGGUAAAAAGAUGGGGGUUUUAUCAUUGGUUUGAGAUUAUCCCUCUACAUCAUGUCAUCUUGCUUAAGGCGUUACUCUGUUCUUAUGGACUUAAUACACUAGAUGCAUGCUGGAUAGCGGUCGACGUGUGGAGUAAUUAAUAGCAGUAGAUGCACACAGUAUCGGUCUACUUGUUUCAGACGUGAUGCCUAUAGAAAUAAUCAUUGCAUAGAUAUCGUCAUGACUCUGCACAGUUCUAUCAAUUGCUCGACAGUAAUUUGUUCACCCACCGUCUACUUGCUUUCAUGAGAGAAGCCACUAGUAAACACUACGGCCCCCGGGUCUAUUCACACCCAUCGUUUACACCUCCGCUUUUACUUUGCUUUGUUACUUUGUUGCUUUCAGUUCUCACUUGGCAAACAAUCUAUAAGGGAUUGACACCCCCUUCAUAGCGUUGGGAGCAAGCUCUUUGUGUUUUGUGCAGGCACUUGUGAUACUACUUCACUCGAUCGAUACAUUGGUUCUCAAAACUGAGGGAAAUACUUACCGACGCUGUGCUACAUCACCUUUUCCGCUUCGAGGGAACACCAACGCAAGGCUCCAAGGCCACAGAGGAAUCCUUUGCAUAUUUUCCUAGGAAGUCCCUAAGGCAUAGCCGCUGCAGCAGGAUUCCUAGCGCUGUACCAGGGAAGGUCUGUUGUCGCAGUAGCACACCCUCAUGAAAAAAUUCACCCUACCGCAAGAGGUAGAUCCAAAUAAACCGGUUAUACAACAAAAAAUCAAGUUGUGGGCUCUGAAGAAGAUGCCCAACAGUUCUGCAACUGGAAGAAACGAUUGAACCAAGACUAUGUCCACAAAGGCAAGACUCCAACAUUCACCGGAGCACUUGAGAAGUUAAAAGAUCACUAGGACGUAUUUGUGGAGUUCAAGAAAUUAGAUGAAGCUAAGAAAAGGUCAGAAAGAAAUAAGAUAAAUCCCGCGAAGAAAGAUUAUCACCAUGUUACGGGGUUAGGUGGCUAUAAGGUUGCUAGGCCUAAGUGGGAGAAAACGGAGGACGAGCUGAUUGCUAAAGGGGUCGAACCAGAGCCAUUGUACUGGACCGAACGGGCAAGGACUUGGUUCUACAGGCAUGGGUGAAAGUUGAACCCAGAAACAGGGAAGUGUACUUACACAAAAGAGCAACUUGCAACACCCCUGUAAGCCCUUCAAGAUGCACUGAAGGACGUGCAUGACGAGAAGUUCAUUCCUGAUAGAGAGAACGACGAGCUCACACACGUCCUCGGGAAUCCUGAACACAGUGGACGGACACGAGGCACAACGGGCUCCGUUUCGUGGAAGGUCGGGUUUCCCGAUAACAGUGACAACUAUAGAAGCUGAGCGAGAAAGAAGAAAUAGGAAGAAUACCGAAAUAAACGGGAAGCAGACCGGCUACAGAAGGUAGAAUAAAAAUUAGAGGUCCACCUACAGAUAAUAGAUAGGCUUACCAGACAGCGAGCUACCAGCGACCCAUCUGAUCCUGCAUUUGGUACUGCUCCCAGCCCAUCACCAUCUCAGAGGAAAAGCAGCGCGGUUCCACGGAGCUUGUUUGGCUCACAAAUGAUAUCACGGCUCCUCUCUACCCUGUGGAUGAUAUCACGGAGAGGGAAAAUUGUGAGCUACAUGCUGGAACUUAUUCAUGAAGGUGGCGGUCAUCUAUGUCUUACCUCCUCGACCUGAUGCAACUUACCUUUGCGAGUCGAUUCUAGAUGGCUAUGCUAUUGUCGGGAUGGAUGAAGUUACCAGCGGAUUUGAGCAACUAUAGCUUGAUUACCCUACAGGUUAAGGGGAGACUCAUCUAGGAGAUGCCUUGAGGACUACCAUUCUAUGGAAAAAGGAACACAUCAUGAUUCCACAUUGGACAGCGUCAGCAGAUCACUCCGUCGGACUCGGCUCCUCACGAGACUCCUCACGGUAGCAAUCCAGGUCAGUGUCAGCAGACUCCGAUGUCUCAGUUGUAUCCGCCGCGUCAACUGACUCCACCGCAUCAGCCGCCUCUGCCUCCUCAGCUGUCUCUGUCGCGUCAGCUAACUUCGCCGCGUCAGCAGACUACGACCCCUCAGGCCCAUGCACGGAAGAGAACGGCCACUCCAGCGGCUAGUAGUACAACUUUGAAGAAACCCAAAGCAGCUACAUGCGUCAAGGAGGCUCCUCGCAAGUCACCAUAUGAAGUGCGUGAUGAGGAACUCAAGACGGUUGUGCAGGAGGAAGUGAGACGCCGUCUUGCACUGAAACCGUGCAAGGAACCGGAGAAAAUAUAUCCGAAAAAGUGAAGCGUUGUCUGAAAAACCUUACGCGACCACCGCCGCCUCCGCCGCUAUCAGACUAUGACCGCUCGAUUGUUAAGUCACAUAGACAACAGAAGCGGUCUGGAAGUAGUAGAUCAAGUGGGAAAACAAUUCCCCAGCUCGGCGAACAAAAAACCAAUCGAUCCCCCAUUUGUUUACCGGUAACCGGUUAUGAUGCGAAGGCAGAAUGCCAUGGUAUUGGUUUCACUCUUGGUGAAUACUUAGGCGGUCAGCAAGAGUCCCCCCGGCUGAGAUAGUAUACACAUACCGGUACGGGAAGCCUCUCGUUAGACCUGAGAAUGUCCUGCUUCUACCAACACGAAUUCGAAACUUCCAUGUGUGGUACAUGAAAGCCUGCAAGGCUGGGACCAACUAUCUCAUUGCGGGAGUUAAUGAUGAGCAUUUUCUUCAAUGGAGACGAACUGAUUUACAUUGUAUUUGAGUAAUUUUUCCAGUUAUUCAAUCAAGAGGCCAUCGAUAAAGCUAUCAUCAGUUGCUAUUGUGUGUAAGUAUCAUUUCUGUAAUUAAGUCUCUAUCUGAGUUCGUUCAUUACAUGUAUAAUUAUCCUCACUAUAUAUAUUAUGCCGAAUGAAGAUCCUCCGGUGCAGAAGAGGAUGAAUCUAUGAUAUUGGGUUCAUUAACCCAAAUAUUGUUCAUGAAGUGACGGUAAAAAAUCACGUGGAAGAAACAGAGAAGAUCUUGCUAAGGGUGUUAAUUGAACAACAAAACAAAAGGGAAAUAAUUUUUCCUUACAAUUUUAAGCGAGUGUUAUACUUUUUUGAACGAAGUGAGUGUUAUACUGUCUUCAAUACAUUAUAUUUUCGUUAAUUACUCGAUGCUAAGUGUAAUUGAUGAGUUAUGCGUAUGCAUGUUCCACUUUAUUCUGCUAGUCAUUUUGUCAUGGACUCGAAACGCAAAGACAUAGAGACGUGGGAUUAUUCGUGAUUUUCGAUAAAAAGUAGUGGUUUUGAAGUAUCCUUGCCAUAAUUGUGGUGGUUUUAAACAAUUUUCUCUCCCGAUGUAAAUCAAACCAUGGGAUUAUUUAGCAAACCGGGAUUACACAGGAUGUUUCACACAACGGACCGGGGGUUGGUUGCGCUGCGCGCGUGGUCACAACUUGUCAUGUCAGCAGCUUCGAUCGGCAUCAUGACCCGGAUCGUUGUCAGUGGGUGGGAGCUCUCGUCCACACGUUUAGAACGGCAAGGGCAGACCUGUGGUUCAACGCUUGAACUGCUUGCAGUCCAGCAGUCCAAGUUUAGAACGCUGGUCCUCGGUUACACUGAUUUGUUCUAUCAACAUGUGGUUCCCACGACUUGGUCCUCGGUUUGACUAUUCAUACUGAUUUCUUUUUAAAUCAGGCGAUCCUGACACAACAAAUGGACCGGUCCAGAUUACCCCUCCCAUGUACCAUUCAGCAUGGAUGGUGAGCUAUCUCAAAAACAAAGAUUACCCUCCCAUGUGUGAAACACAGGCAUUUGAAAAAUUUAGGUGGGCCGGUCCCGCUAGGAGUAGGGUGUGCGUCCCUUGGAAUUUUUUUAAAUAGCAAAUUUGAAAUAGGUCGAUUCAUCAGACGAAUCUCAGUUGAUACGAUGUUAAAAAAUUUAAAACUAAAUUACAUAAUUCAGUGUAUAAUCGAUCGGCUUUUCGAUUCGUGUGUUUAUUUCGCCAAAUUUAAAUUGGGCUUUUUCCAAGCCCAACCAAUCGAGAGUUUGGGCCCAAAAAAAACUUAAACCGCCAGAGAACCCUACUCCCCUCAGCUCCCACCACUCCUCCGCCAUGGCCGCCGGCGCCGGCGCCGGCCUGCGGCUGGGCUCCUACCUCGGCGACGUCUCCGCGCUCUCCUUCCUCCCCUCCUCCCCGCGCCCCCUCCUCCUCGCCGGUACCUCCCCCUCCCCUCUCCCUGCCCUCCGGCGCGCCGUACGCUCACCUCACCUAUUACGCCGCGCGCUCUCGCAGGGACCGGGUCGGAGCUGCUCGUCUACGACCUGGAUGCCGCCAGGCUCGUCGCCUCCUUCCGGGUCUUCGACGGCGUGCGCGUCCACGGCAUCCAACCCCGCGUCCGUGCCCCCAAUGGCCCCGCCGACGGGCUCACCGUCGCCGUGUUCGGCGAGAGGAGGGUGAAGCUCCUCAGCCUCCGCGUCGACGCGGCCGGCGUGCUGCUGCAGCUGGAGCAGAGGCUCCCCGGGUUCGACCACUGGGUGCUCGACGCUUGCUUCCUCGAGGUAUGCACACUCGGUCAUUCGCGGUGGGAAGCUUCGUUUUCCAUUGCCAUUCAUGCUUGUACAUUAUUCAUGUGUGUUCCUUCUCGGCGCAGGUCGACGGGCUGCUUGCGAUCGGUUUGGGCGACAAUUCAGUGGCCUUGUGGGAUUUGAAGGACCGUGUGUUCGUUACCAGGGUGAAUUCUCCAGGUUCGACGAGCCCCCAAGUUUGAAACUAUAUCCUCCGUGCCAGAAUUUGUAUUGACAUAUGCUUGGUCCUGGUGUGUUUUGUGGAUGCAGAGAAGUGCCUUCUGUAUUCAAUGAGAAUGUGGGGGGACUCUGUUCAAUCCCUCCUCGUCGCGUCUGGUACCAUUCUGAACGAGGUAGCCGUCCAGGCUCUUCUAACCUCUAGCGCACUAAAUUUUUGAGACAGACUUUGCUAAGCUCGGAUGUCUGGUAUAAGCAUUAUUAUAACUCCACUGUAUCUGUUUUCCAGAUUCUUAUUUGGAAACUGGUACCUGAAACCCCGAGUUCUUCCUUGUUAAGCUCGGACGAGUUGGGCGCUGCUGGUGUAGAGAACCGUGAAAACGUUCAUCUUAGUCAUAAUAAUAAAUACAUGGCUGUUCAUAUUGGAAGAUUGAAGGAACAUGAGGGUUCAAUAUUCCGAAUAGCUUGGUCUUCUGACGGAUCAAAGUUCAUGUCCGUCUCCGAUGACCGCAGGUUUGGUUCGUUCUGGUUUUCACUUCUCUGCAUUAUCCAUGUCAGAUUUCAUUUGCUGAAGUAUCUAGCUUCUUGAACUUAUUGUUUCAAUUGCCCGUCUUUUGUUAUAUCAGUCUUAUCUUAUGUGCUUGGCUUCAUUGUUAUGGCAGUGCUCGCAUGUGGAUGUUAAGUUGUCAGCCACAGGAUCUUACCAAUCAAGCAGCCAGAAUUGAUGAUGUCGACAUUAUACCAAAACUGACACUUUUUGGACACAGUGCUAGAAUUUGGGAUUGCUGCAUAUCUGAUUCUGUAAGUUUAUUGCACUUUGCCUUUUCGUCUUUCAGUUUUGAAGGUGGAUUUGCUAUUAUGUUUGUUUGGUGGCGUCCGUUUCCUCAAUGCUUUUUUUUAACUCACGAAUCUAUCAUGGACACAUACCAUAUUAUUACGUUAAGGCUUUUUUUUGUCAGAAAAGUGGAACUUACCCAUCUACUCCCUCCGUACCUAAAUAAUUGUAGNNNNNNNNNNNNNNNNNNNNNNNNNNNNNNNNNNNNNNNNNNNNNNNNNNNNNNNNNNNNNNNNNNNNNNNNNNNNNNNNNNNNNNNNNNNNNNNNNNNNNNNNNNNNNNNNNNNNNNNNNNNNNNNNNNNNNNNNNNNNNNNNNNNNNNNNNNNNNNNNNNNNNNNNNNNNNNNNNNNNNNNNNNNNNNNNNNNNNNNNNNNNNNNNNNNNNNNNNNNNNNNNNNNNNNNNNNNNNNNNNNNNNNNNNNNNNNNNNNNNNNNNNNNNNNNNNNNNNNNNNNNNNNNNNNNNNNNNNNNNNNNNNNNNNNNNNNCUACAAUUAUUUAGGUACAGAGGAAGUAGCUUUUAUUGUAAACUAAAUACAUCUUACUGUUUUCACCUGAACUUGCCUUUUAGAUAGUUAUAACUGCUGGUGAGGAUUGUACUUGCUGCAUUUGGGGCAUGGAUGGAAAGCUAAUCAAAACGUUCAAAGAACACAUGUAAGUUGGGCAGAAAGUGUAAGGCGAGCCAGAUUAAGUAUGUGCAAGUUUGAGUACCUUGACCUGCAAGAAGUUUCUCCCUUAUUAAAACUUAAUUUGCUCUGCUGCCUCUACUGUUACAGCGGCCGAGGAUUAUGGCGAUGUUUAUAUGAUCCAAGCUCACUGGUUCUGAUCACUGCUGGGUUUGAUUCAGCAAUCAAAGUGCACCACCUAUGUAAUUCCUCUUUUCAUGACACAUUGGAAGAAAAAGCGGCCCCAGAUGGUCUGAAAUACGAGUCUGAGGUGUUUGAAGUAUCUUCUCCUAUAGUAUCAGGACGGCAUGGUGCCUUGGAUAGGUAUGGUGUGUUUCUGUGUUAUCUUGUACAAUCUCUAUCUUUCAUGGUGAUAUAGUGCGAGUAAUUAACUAAUUAUUCUUUCGUUUAUCACAGCAAAAGUGAAUAUGUCCGAUGCUUACACUUUGUGCAACAAAAUAUUCUCUAUGUUGCCACAAACAAUGGAUAUCUGCAUCAUGCUGACCUCUCUAAUACAAAAGAUGUAAGAUGGACUGAGGUUAUUCAGGUCACAGAGAAAGCACCGAUCAUAUGUAUGGAUGUAAUGAUAGUGUCCUCAGACUUUUCUCUGGAUAAGGAGGAUAUAAUUGCCCUUGGAGACGGCCGUGGGAAUGUUACUAUUGUCCGGUUAAGCAGUCCCAGUCUUGAACCUAAAAUAGAUUUAUCUUUUACCUGGCCAGCUGAAAAGGAUAGGCAACUACUAGGAUUAUACUGGUGCAAGUCACUUCAAUGUAGGUAUGUUGAUUAUUACCUAUUUACUUUCUGGUUAGCAGGUAAUAUUGUUCUCAACAGUUUUAUUUUCCUCGCAGCCACAUUUUCACAGCUGAUCCUAGAGGCACUCUUAAGUUAUGGAAUGUAAGGAAUGCCCUUUUGUCAAAUGGCCAUGCGAUUAGUACAGCUCAGGAGGUUUCACUUGUUGCAAUGUUUGAAUCUCCCUUUGGGACUCGUAUCAUGUGUUUAGAUGUAUCACUUCAGGAUGAGGUAAUUCUUAUAAACUUGCUCUGUUUCUCAUUGAAUGCAAAACCUUAACAGUGGCCUAUAUAAUAUUUCACGCGAAUAUCAGACGUUUUAUAAUUAUGACUACGGGAACACUAAUUGUUUAUAGAAUACUAGUGCCUGAUGUUCUAACUAUCAGAUGAAGAGAAAUGUUACAGGUUGCUGCAAAGAAUAUAUUUUGUUCUCUGAUGUAAAAAUAAAUUACAUGUUAAUUUCUGUGCAGAUCCUUAUAACAGGUGAUAAGAAGGGUAACAUCGCUGCCUUUCCUUUUCAUAACACAUUGGCAGCACAUGACAGCAGUGAGGCACAGCAGAAGAUACCUUUACGUGACCGUUUUAAAGGAGCUCAUGGCAUUUCUAGUGUCACAAGUGUUCAGAUAAUCACCUCAGCUUCGGAUCAUAUUGAAAUCCACACUGUAUGUACAGAGUUUUGUUGUUGUUCCUUUUAUUGAAGUCAUGAGCUUGGCCUGACAUAAACUCCUCUCCUCUGAACAUUUUACAGACUGGGGGAGACGGCUGUAUUUGCUUCUUCAAGUAUGGGAGAAAUGUCAAAAACGUUGAAUUUGUUGGAAUGAGACAAUUGAAAGAAUUAGGCACCAUUCAAUCCAUCCACGCAAAUCAUGCCUCUGGUAACCAAUUGGUUGGUACCUAUGCAAUAGGUUUCACCUCUGCGGAUUUUAUCAUUUGGGACCUUGAAAAUGAUACAAAGGUAAGACAUACUGGAUAAACUGGACAGUUUGAAGUUUGAAUUUGGCAAUGGUUGUCCUAAUCUGUUAAUUCUGGAUUGUUUUCCCUUCUAUAGCUGGUUCAAAUAUCAUGCGGAGGAUGGCGGCGCCCUUACUCUUAUUAUCUUGGGACAGUCCCUGAGUAUCAAAACUGUUUCGCCUUCGUGAAGGUUUGCUGCCCUUGCUUAACGAUGUCUGUGAAAUUGUUUUCUUAACUGUUCUUCUAUGCAAAUUUACACACCUCAUGAGAAUUGACUUGCUAGCAGGACCACAGUAUUCAUGUCCACAGACACUGGGCACCAGCUCAAGAUAGGAAGCUGCUUCCUCAAGUUUUUCAUACCCAGUUCCAUGGAAGAGAAGUGCAUUCUCUUUGCUUCAUAGAUCCCGCAAGCUAUUCACAUCCUGAGAAGAGUACAGAUUUGUGGAUUGCAACCGGGUGCGAAGAUGGAACCGUCCGGCUUACAGGGUAAAUAAGUUACCAUUGCUGCAUAAUAACAAACGUGGUUUACUCAAAUAUACCUGUCCAUUUCAGGUGCUGUUAUGAAUCAUAUUAUAUAUUUUGUUGUUGAUCUUUGUUACAGGUACUCCGCUAGUAGUGAUGGAAGAUGGUGUUCAUCCAAGCUGCUGGGGGAGCAUGUUGGUGGGUCAGCUGUGAGAGAUACGUGCUUCGUCCCAAAGACUUACACAUUAGCAGAUAAAUCAUGCAACUCUAGUGUCAGUUCUGCCGACAUUUUGGCCGAAGACAAGGACACCACUUACAUAUUGAUAUCUGUUGGAUCAAAGCAAGUUCUGACGGCUUGGGUUCUAGAACCUAGGACCGCAGAGAACAAACAAGCGUGUUCGAGUGAUCUAGAUUUAGACACCAAGCAAAGCUCGUUAUGCUCAGAUAUUAGUGAUUCAGCGGUUACAUUUCAGUGGCUUUCUACCCACAUGCCACCAAAGCUUGGCACCAACAGAUUGAAAGCUGAUCAUGUAAAGCGGAACAUCGAGGAAGGCGGGAAAGGAAAUUGCUCUGCUCAACCUAAUCUGGCUAUUAUGGAACAGAUGGAAAAUGACUGGCGUUACCUUUCUGUUACAGCUUUUCUUUUGAAACAUCCGGCUACUGAGUAAGAUUUGACACCGCUCUCAUCAAUCGCUCACAAAUAUAGGGUGUAGGGUACUUUCUGUUCCAGCUCUUGCAAGAAAUGACUGUCAUGAAUGGCCCACAAAUAUAGGGUCUAGGGUACUUUCUGUUGCAGCUCUUGCAGAAAUGACACUCAUGGAUUGCUCACAAAUAUAGGGUCUAGGGUUCUUUCUGGUUAGCUCUUGCGAGAAUGACUGUCAUGAAUUGGUUACAAAUAUACGGUCUAUGCUACUUUCUGUUUCAGCUCUUGCAAGAAAUGGUUCAUGAAUUUCUCAGAAAUAUAGGGUCUAGGAUUUUAUUUUUGAUUUGCUCUUGCAAGAAAUGAGGGUAGUCUGAGCUCUUUGUUUUAUGUCAGGUUGACAGUAUGUUUUGUUGUUGUUGCUUGCUCGGAUGCAACAGUGGUUCUCCGUGCUCUUCUUUUGCCUUCUCGAUUAUGGUACGUAACAUGAAAUUUCCGAGGCAGAGUUCCUAUUUAUCUGUACUAGUCUUGGUGGUUUCAGUUAGCUGUUCCUUUUCUCUGUGUACAGGUUUGAUGUUGCCUUGUUGGUCCCACAGGCAUCACCAGUUCUUGUCCUACGGCAUAUCGUUGUCGUCUCUAGUGCCCACUGUGAAGGUCAGUUCUACCCUUUCUUUUUUGUUCUGAAAAUGUUGUUAAGCAUAAUGGAAUUCACACAUUUGCUUUCAGGUGUUGUUUAUAAUGGCGAUAGAUACAUUAUCGUGAGUGGGUCUACAGAUGGUAGCAUUACAUUGUGGGACCUAACAGACACCAUUCAUGGCUUUAUGCAACUAGUAUCAGAGACGAAACCGCACAUGGUCAUCGACUGCCAAAAGCGGCCCAAGACAGGAAGAGGGAGUCAGGGUGGUCGUCGUCGGUGGCGAUCACUGGCAAACAGUUCCGUGAAGAAGGGUAACGGACAGGCAUUGCUCCGUAGUGAGAACAAUCUGAGCGCCUCGUGCGCUGCUGCGGAGAGUCCACAUGAAACUUCAGGAGCGGGAGAAAACGAGGCCAUAAAAAACACCGAGAACACAGUUUCAAGUACCCAGUCGUGUGAUAUACCUGAACUGCAGCCAUUGCAGAUAUUGGCCGGUGUUCACCAGUCAGGCGUGAACUGCCUCCAUGUUUCGGAGAUGGAGCAGCGGUCAUGCUCUAUUGCUGGCACGUCUUACUGCAUCAUAAGUGGCGGUGAUGAUCAGGCGGUUCAGUGUUUUGUGUUCACAUUAGCACCCCCGCAGGGCUGCUCAACUAACAUGUCAAACAUAGUCUCGCCUCCUGACAAAGGUGGACUUCAAAUACUUGGCCAGCACACGGUUCCCUCCGCUCACGGAUCAGCAGUGAAAGGUAUGUCUGUCACUAUUAAGAAUACCACGGCUUGGUUCAGUAUUUCAGUUUCGCAACUGUUCAUGUAAGCUGAUGAUACAAGCAUUUGCACUUUUACGGUCAGGUAUCUGGACGGACGGUGCCUGGGCUUUCUCCACUGGGCUUGACCAGAGAAUCAGAUGUUGGAAAAUGGGUCCAUCCGGCAAAUUCACGGAGCAUUCCCAUGUCAUCAUCAGCGUGCCCGAGCCGGAAACUAUGGACGUUUUCCAUGACUUGUGAGGAGGCUUCGCAGCAGCAUCUGUAUUCUUUUUUUUUUUUUUUUNNNNNNNNNNNNNNNNNNNNNNNNNNNNNNNNNNNNNNNNNNNNNNNNNNNNNNNNNNNNNNNNNNNNNNNNNNNNNNNNNNNNNNNNNNNNNNNNNNNNNNNNNNNNNNNNNNNNNNNNNNNNNNNNNNNNNNNNNNNNNNNNNNNNNNNNNNNNNNNNNNNNNNNNNNNNNNNNNNNNNNNNNNNNNNNNNNNNNNNNNNNNNNNNNNNNNNNNNNNNNNNNNNNNNNNNNNNNNNNNNNNNNNNNNNNNNNNNNNNNNNNNNNNNNNNNNNNNNNNNNNNNUUUUUUUUUUUUUUUUGGCCAAGGAAAAUGUCUACAUGAUGUUCUCUGUCGUAGUUCAAUCUUUACGAUAUUCUCACGGUGAUUGUUGUUAUCUUGUCAGUGGGUGUAGGAAAUACCACAUCGCCGUCGCAGGAAGAGGGAUGCAGAUGGUUGAGUUCUUGCCGCCUAAAGACGACUCGAUGAAGAUAGCGUGAGAACAGCCUGGUGGCGCGUCGUGGAAUUAGUUCCUGCAAGCGGGAGGGUGCGCAGUCAGUUUUUUGGGGAUGAUUUGUAACUCCAUUUGAUGUGUAGCUCUUUCCGAGAGAGGGGAUGAAUUACGGAAUAGUCAUGAUCUGGAAAUCUGGUGCCAUGCAUGGAAGGCUGGCUUGAUUUGCUUGAAUGGAACAGAGGAAUCAUCUGGAUGGAAUGUUCUGUGGCAAAGCCAUCUGAUCCCUUUCAAUGCCAACAGGAAAUAUUCACCGAUAACACUGAAAAACCAUAUUCUAAUGCUAGCAGUAAGUUGGAUUGAACCUCUCGUUUCUUUUCAUUUUGCUCGAUCGUUCCCCAAGUGAUCCCUUGCGUGGAUUCAUAACCAACUUCAUGUUUUGAAUCAAGAAUUUUUUGUAAGUAUCUAGAAGCAUUUGAGCAUUGCAUUGAGCUAACGCUCUCUAUAUGGGACGCCAAUGUUCUCCCACGGCAGCGUUUGUUAGAUUACAUAGCUAGGUGAUUAUUUUAGUUGCUCUUAUGAAACCCCUAAACCCUCCAAAACCUUAAAUCCCUCAUUUAAAAAAAAACACAUGACAGGUGUUGACGCGUGGCUACCUUUUAGUCCCGGUCGGUGUUAUGAACCGGGAUUAAGGAGGUGUUCGGAGUCUCACCAGCUCCGUGAAAUUUUGGGAGUUGCAGAGCCGUGCAACAGUCGCUCCGUCACUUUGAACCAGAACUCCACCUGCUCCGGGAGUAGAGUUGUGGGGUGGAGGUUCUCCGAACAGGGCCUAAAGGUCCUCCUGCCCGGGUGCCCCACAGUGGCCACGUGAAACUCCUUUAGUCUCGGUUCAUAAUGCAACUGAAACCAAAAGUUGGGGCCUUUUAUCCCGAUUGCUUAGUCCCGGUUGCAGAACCGGGACUAAAGACCCUUAUAAACCGGGACUGAUGCACUUUUUUUACUAGUGGUUUAAUGUGAGGGUUGUCAGGACAGUUGCAUGUCCAUCAAUGAACAUGAAACUAUAAGCAUUGAAACCCGACUACAACUACACGGAGUAUAAAGCGACUGCAAUUGAAUGGGGAGGGAGUUGUCAGGACCGUAACCCGACUAUAAUGUAUGGGCACAAAGCGACUUUAACUAGGGUCACGAGGGGUCUGUCGGACGAGUUGCAUGUCCACCACUAGACAUGCAAUCACAAGCAUUAUAAUCCGGCUUCAACUAUAUGUGCACAAAAGCGACUGGAAAUGGGGGUUGGAAGAGGAGUUAGUGCAUAUCUUUUUUACUUACUAACAUAAAACUCAGUGAGCUCCAAACGCUCACAAUUUUUAUCUAUUCUUUUUUAUUUUUUACUAAGUCACAUGUAUGCGAGUUGCACAAAUUGCAACCAUUGCAACUACAUGUAACAGGUGCCACUCCUUUUUUUUUCUUAUUUAGUCGUACCAACUAUCACACCACACAUGUAAUUAGCUCAGUGUCGCGACUACAUACGUCUCAACAUGCAUGCAAUUGCAUGCCAUACAGAGCAUUUGCAACUAUGUUUUCUUAGCAUUUUCAAUAUAAUUUUCAAAAUAGGAAAUGACAACAAGAAGGAACAAAAAAAGCAAAAGAAUAUUAAAAAGAAUUCUAGUCGCAUGCAAAAUUUACAACACUAUACUUAUCCAUGGAGAAAAAACGAAGGACCUAUACGAGCCCAAUCGAGCUACGUGUGUACACUAAUUAAUCAAUAAAUUAAAACUUUUUAAACUGGAAACGAGCUGAAGUUUGGAUAAAAGGAAAAAAAAUGAAAUGAUUCAACAACAGUCUUGAAAAUUCUAAGGAAAAACGUUCAACUGGCCCAACAACCACUCAAGUGGCCCAAGACCAGAAACGUACCCAAAAAAAUACCGUACACACUCAGCUGCCCAAGCCCAUAAGAAAACUAAAAAAAAACUAACAACCAGCCCAUUAGCAUGCCAAUGAAAACGGGCUACCACAACAAAAGGUGAUGUCAGCUGAUGUCAUGUGAAUGAAACCAAAUCUCUCCCUAACAAUAAAGCAAAAACGGUUUCUGGUCGUCCGUCUUGAAAAUUAUCCCUAAAGUUUGCAUAAAUUAUCCACUAUGCCACCGGUAAGUAAUAAAAAACGUUUCAUAAAGCAAAAAAUCUUGGACUGGGCCAGCCCAUGUAAAAACGUCCUAUAUUACGCUCUGCAUGCUGGGAGAAUAUCCAACACACCGUAUGGGCCAGCCCAUGCACAGGCGCCUGCUUUUAGUUCCAUUUAUUUAUUUAUUUUCAGUUCCGUUUUAUUUUUUUAUUUUAAAUAAUUUAGAACUUCAAAUAAUCUUUAAAAUUUUAAUAAACUGAAAAUUAUAAAUCAACACAUUUCAAAAAUUAAAAUGUUUGUGACUUCAAAAACUGCUCGGAGUUUUGUAAAAAAUGCUCCCAUAUACAAUAAAAUGUUUGCAAUUUUAGAAAAAUAUUUGUACAAUAAGAAAAGUCCAUGAUCUCAAAUACAAUUCCAUAUAUUAAAAAUUAUUAAAGGCAUUUAACAAAAUGCUUUCUAAUUCAAAAUAUGUUAAUGAAUUUAAAAAAUGUCCUAAUAUUUUAAAAAUAGCUAAUGUCUGUUUUGAUAGUUUCUUUUUUUUAUUUAAAAUUUUCCUUUCCAUUUUUGUUUAUUUAUAAUUUAAAUAAUUUAGAAUUACAAAAACUUUUAAAAUUGUUCCCAUAUUUGUAAAAUUGUUCAAAGAUCUAAUGUAUGUAGUUAAAUAUUAAUGCUUCUAAGUCUAUGUGACAAUAUACCUGUAUGAAUUUUGAAGAAUUAACUGUUGGAUGCAUCGGAUUAUUAUUGUAUGUUUUCUAAAAAAAUCUUGAAAUUCAUAAUAAAUCUUUGAGUUACCAAAUUUUUUGAAAAUGUAAAGAUUGCUUCAACUUGUGAAUAAAUUUAAAAGAAGAAACAUUUUCUUGCAUUUGUGUACAAAAUUUCUAAAUCAAGCGAUGAUAUGUGAACAUAAUGUGUUCAUCAUCAUUGAAGAUUAUGUUUUUUUUUCUUCCGUGGCAACGCACUCAUCUAGAUGAGUUCUAGACACACCCUUAAAAAAGGCGAGGUGAGACCAUUUAGUAGGAGAACAAAUCCAGCCUUGUACACUCAUCCAUGAGUAGCUCGAUGGAUGAUCUCAACCUAUGGUAUUGGAUGGAGAUUGCGAGGUCCAUAGCGGUGUCAGCCUUUUUUUAUAUCCCAUUGGUUGGGCCGGACAGUAGCAAGGCUCAGGCGGGUUGGUGGGGUGCGCCAUUGAAAAGAAGCCUUGGUCAAUACAUGACGGUGAACUGACAAAAACAAUCUGUGCUUUUUUUAUUAUAGUUAAAGAUACAAAAUGUUUUUCCUUCCAUUUCAUGCCUUUUGGGUUUUGGCAGAAAAUUCUUUAUUCUCAAGAAAUAACCGUAAAAUUGUAAAAAUAAAAAAAUAGUGCAAGUGAGAAACAAAUAUAUUUUCCGAAAAUGAACAGGGAAGAAGAUACUGCAGUGGUGCACAAAUACAAAGUCAAAAAUCGUUGGAACUAAAAAGAAUAUUGAACCACAAAGAAAAUAAAUUCAACACAUUCAAUUGCUAAGAUGAUUGUAAAUAUUAUUACUCCCUCCGUCCCAAAAUAAGUGUCUCAACUUUAUACUAGCUCUAGUAUAAAAUUGUACUAAGCUUGAGACAGUUAUUUUGGGACGAACGGAGUAUGAUACAUCAAAGAUAUACAAUGAUGCGUACUAUUAUCCAUGAGUUUUCUAUUUUGGCAGCAUAUAAAAGUAUGAGUUUAUGGAGAAUUGAGUUAGCCCAAGUAUCUAGGCUGGUCUAGAGUUGGCCAUCUGUACUGAAAAAAAGCAUUGUUCCCUUUCCUGCCAAUAGAAUGUCAAUCGACUCUUGCCCUGCCACCACGCACUUUAAACAAAAAGAUAUUUCCGAUCGACUUUUUAGUACCAAGACAUCCUUUUUUUCGCACAUUUCCCGUACGCUAAUCAAUCAACUUAAUCUACUUACGGUCUGCAUCAUUUUAAUUUAAUUUGAGUGUGAUUUCAACAUUUGGAAAUGGAACAUGUGGAUUAGGCUAUAAUGUAGACUGAAAAACUGUGAGGGGGAAAAAUUACAAAAUCAUGAUGCUAUUUUGAGCAAUACUCUCACCCCCACCCCCUCACCCAAAAACCUUUAUAUAGCCACUCUUUCACCUAUGUAGCAUAUUUUUUCUCUUGCCACCUACUUUGGACAAAACCUGAGCAUAUUUUACAAAAUUAAGAGCAUCUCUAGCAGACCCCUUAAACCACGGAACUUGCGAAAAACGUGUUUUAGUUGAGCUGCCACCGAACAGAACUCUUACAGUUAAACUGUAAAUCAAAUAUCCGUUUUUUUAUUCUUUCUCAAGUCUUCUUCUUUCUCUCGCCCGUGUCCAUAGACGAUGCACGAAGCAGUCAAAUACGAAACCACCAGCGUUCAGAACAACGCACGAAGCUAGCUCGUCCGUGGCCGGAUCGAUCCAGGAGCUCCUCCUUCGUCGUCUUAGCGAGCUCCUCCGUAGUUGUUCGAGUUUCCGACAAGAAUCGAUCCAAACGGCCAAAUAAGGAGCCGCAGUCGCCGUAGCUAGUUGAAUCAAUCCACGAGCUAGCUAGCUAGCUAGCNNNNNNNNNNNNNNNNNNNNNNNNNNNNNNNNNNNNNNNNNNNNNNNNNNNNNNNNNNNNNNNNNNNNNNNNNNNNNNNNNNNNNNNNNNNNNNNNNNNNNNNNNNNNNNNNNNNNNNNNNNNNNNNNNNNNNNNNNNNNNNNNNNNNNNNNNNNNNNNNNNNNNNNNNNNNNNNNNNNNNNNNNNNNNNNNNNNNNNNNNNNNNNNNNNNNNNNNNNNNNNNNNNNNNNNNNNNNNNNNNNNNNNNNNNNNNCUAGCUAGCUAGCUAGCUUGCUCGCUCAAUCGAUUCAAGCGGGCAGAGGAAGUAGCUGGCUACCUAGCUGAAUGGACUCGAGCGGCCGCGGGCAGGCGCAACGGCCGGCGUCCGUGGACGGGCGGGGCGACUUCCGGGGUGGCGAACGGCGUAGACGGCGGAUGCAGAAGUUUCCAUGGUAGUUGGCCCCCCGUCAAAUGCUUUCUCUCGAUACAGGUCACCGUAUAAGCGGACGCGAAAACUGUGUUUUGCAGAUCAGGAGGAGUUUUUUGCCGUGCCCCUUAAAUUUUUUUAUAGAUCAGAGUCGUUUACGGGUUCUAUUGGGACCUUUUUUCCACCUAAAAUAAACCGAUGAUUAUUUUACAGUUUCGCGAGUUAUAUGGGGUCUGCUAGAGAUGUUCUUAAAGGGUAUAAUGCAACGUUUUCUAGUUAUCAAUUUAAGUGCAUGACAAUGUCAUUGCCGUGCCACAAGUGUGUUUUAUUGUCUACUAUUAAGGAGAAGGGGGGGGGGNNNNNNNNNNNNNNNNNNNNNNNNNNNNNNNNNNNNNNNNNNNNNNNNNNNNNNNNNNNNNNNNNNNNNNNNNNNNNNNNNNNNNNNNNNNNNNNNNNNNNNNNNNNNNNNNNNNNNNNNNNNNNNNNNNNNNNNNNNNNNNNNNNNNNNNNNNNNNNNNNNNNNNNNNNNNNNNNNNNNNNNNNNNNNNNNNNNNNNNNNNNNNNNNNNNNNNNNNNNNNNNNNNNNNNNNNNNNNNNNNNNNNNNNNNGGGGGGGGGGGGGGGGGGUUAGUACGUCGUUCCAUACCCCUCCUCGACUAACUUCGAUUCCUCGUCCCACCUCCUCCCAUCACUGAUUUUAGAUGUAUACCAUUACACUGAACGAAUAUUGUAAAUGUAAUAUUACAUUGCUGACGAGGCUGAAGAAAAUAUAUGUUCAGAUUAUGUUCUUUGUUUUAAAUUCCCGAUAAGAUAUUUAGGAAGUAUUGUAAUAAUGUGUCUUUAGUGUCCAAUUAGAUAUUAAUAUUGAAUCAUAGACGUGUCGAUUGAGAAGAAUGAGUGCACUCAAACUUCGCUAACAUUGGCAUUUCGCAAUUAGUGCAUGAAAGUAGAUUAGUCAACUACAAAUGGUAUAAUUUUACUAGUCAUGGAUUAUUUAUUUAGUCUUAUCAUGAUAUAUAACUUUGUACAAACAUUCAUAUAGAAAAUGAAGGACGGAGUUAUGUUCCAAAAAUUCUCAACAUCUAAGGCGACUUGUAUAACAUGAUGUAAGCGGAGCAAAAACGCAUGUCACUAACAGUAGAAAAGAAAAUGCCUAGAACUAUCUCCAUCCGUAGGUAUAUGAAUUUAUCCAAUAAUGCAUGUAACCAAAGUGCGUACAUUUAUAUAUUUAUAUAGAUAAUAUAAUUAUUUGCACCACAAAUCUCUUGGUAAUACAAUUAUUAUUUGGUAAUGUAUUAAUUUAGAGACAUGAGGUUUAUUACGCAUGGGGCAUGGCCCGCGCAUCAGCUUCAACGUCAUCGGCAACAGUCGACAUGGAUUUUGCUCGAGGUUGAGCAGCCAGCUUCAAGUCGAGCCAUGCCUGCACGCCCUUCCGCACGUUCUCGCUGUCGUCGGCGCGGUCGCGGAAGGUCUCCACGUCGGCCAUCUUGCUGGCGAUGCUGGACAUGACCAGCUCCUUCUUCCACUCCUCCACCGGCGCCAAGUCGGAGUACUUCUCCCCGAGCUCGUACAUCUUCUGAGGGUCGAUGCCGCCGAUGUUGUGGGUGUGCUUCCACGGCACGCCGGCGGCCUCCCUCGCGCGGAGGUGCUCCUCCACGGACCGCACCAUCUCCUCCUCCGCCGGCAGCGUUUUACGGCCGGACAGCACCUGCGCCACCCACCGCGCCUGCACCUCGAAGAACCACGGGAUGAGGACCUUCCUCACCACCCCCACGAAGGAGAGCGACGGCGGGAACACGUGCUCGAACAGCGGGCCGACGACGUAGCCGUCGCUGUCGACGGUCACCGCGCCGCCCGUGUCCAGGAACGGGAACGAGUAGGUGUACCCCGUGCAGUAGAUGACCGUGUCGGCCACGACGGAGGAGCCGUCCGCGAACUCCACGCGCCCGUCGGCGUGCAGCCGGCGGAUCCGCGUGUGCAGGCGCAGCACGUCGCCGUGGUUGGCCAGCAUCCUCGACACGUCCGGCGUGGCGGCCGUGGCCUCGGAGCUCGCGGCGAGGUGCACCUCCCUGGCCACGCGGCAGAGGUCCAGCGCGAUGUCCUUGCCGCUGUCCCCGCACCCGGCCACCACCACCGCCUCGCCGCGGAACGGCUCCGGCGUCCUGUACGAGUGGCUGUGCAGCUGCCGGCGCGUCCACUCACCCAUGCCCUGGAUGUCGGUCGGGAGCAUCGGCUGCGAGUGGUGGCCGUUGGCCACCACGACCGCGUCGAACACCUCCUCCUUCUCCCGCGACUCAUCGUCCUCGGUGCUGCCGAGGAGCCGCACGGACCUGACCGUCCACUGACGCGUCGCCGUCGUCGCCGGGGCGACGUGCAGGACCCGGGUGUUGAGCCUGACGACGUCCAUGAGGCCGAAGGCGUCGCAGAAGUCCCGGAGGUAGCAGUGCAGCUCGCGGUGGGCGGGGAAGCGGCGUGGGUCGCGGCCGGCGCCUUCCCUGGGCAGGAACUGGAAGUCGGAGAAGCCCAUUGCCUCCCGCGGGCUGAUGAGGCGGAGGCACGCGUAGAUGCUGCUGGGCACGCGCACCGGCGCUGCGGCGCCGAGCGGGUCCUCGCCGUCGGUCAGCGGGUCGUACAGCCACUGCCCGCCGACGUCGCCGCUCUGCUCCAUGACGGUGACGGCGUGGCCCUCCCGCCGCAGCUCGCGCGCCGCUGCCAGGCCGGCCACGCCGCCUCCAACCACGCACACGCUCUUGGACUGCAGCGCCGGCUCGCCGUCUCCAGCAGCCAUGCCGACGCCGAUCGGUUGGUCGACGGUUGACGCUCUGCUUUCCUCUGUCACCUUGGUGGGUCGAUAAUAUGAUUGCUAACACACCACGAUGACUGUCAUCCAUGUAUAUUUUUAUUUUAUUAUUGGACACCACUGUCACCCAUGUGUUAGUUAGCCAGAGGAGAAAAACAAAUAAAAUUGAGUCGUUCGUCGCACAAACAAAAGGAUAAAAUUGCAAGAUUUAUUUGUAUGGAUGGAAAACAAGUUGGUCCUGCAGCGUUUCGUUAAAAAAAUAACCUGGUCGAUCAUGUCCUUGGCCGUGGCUCUUGUUUGCACGCCGACGUCAGCGUGAUCAGAGCAUCUAGAACAGCCGGACAGACGCCCCUAAAAUAUGUGGUAUUUGAAUGGGUAACAUCAAAUGUGCGUACUUACCCCUCCGUGCCCAAAUAUAAGUCUUUUAAGAUAUUUUAUUAGGUGUCUACAUACAAAGCAAAAUGAAUGAAUCUAUACUCUAAAAUAUGUCUAUAUACAUCCUAUGUAGUCCAUUAGUUGAACCUGUAGAAAGACUUAUAUUUAGGAACGAAGGGAGUAGGAAACAAUUUAGGUGCUUUGCAUGAAUUUAAAGGAUAAAAUAUGUGGUAUUUGAAUGGGUAACAUCAAAUGUGAGGUUUGAUCAGUCAUUACGCGCGGACACAUUUACGAGUGUUUAAUGAACAGGAUUUGCAAGUCUUUACGUAAUAACAAUAGAAUUUGCCCCUAAAAUUCGCAUGAACUACCGCAAUGCCACCGGUAAAUAGAAAAAUGAUUCUUUUUUUUUUCCAGAAGUUUCUUGUAAUUCAACAGGUAACGAUCCCUCAAUAUCUACCUCUUUAUUUUUACUAUUAAUAAAGCACAUAUUGCUUCUGUGGUACGUCAUGAAAAUUGCCUCUGAAGUUUGCAUAAAUUACCCACCAUGCCACCGCUAUGUAAUAGAAAACGUUUCACAAAGCGAAAAAUCUCGGACUGGCCCGGCCCAUGUAAAAGCCUCCUAUAUUACGCUCUGCACCCUGCAAGAAUAUCCAGCACACCGUAUGGGCCGGCCCAUGCACAUGCGCCAGUUUUUUUAGUUCCGUUUAUUUAUUUAUCUUCAGUUUCAUUUUAUUUUUCUAUUUUAAGUAAUUUAGACCUUCAAAUAACCUUUAAACUUUUAAUAAACUGAAAAUUCUAAAUCAACAAAUUUUAAUAAAUCAAAUGUUUGUGACUUCAAAAACUGCUCGGAGUUUUUGUAAAAAAUGCUCGCAUAUGCAAUAAAAUGUUUGCAAGUUUGAAAAAAUGUUUGUAAGAUAAGAAAAGUCCAUGAUUUCAAAUCAAACUCCAUGUAUUAAAAAUUAUUAAUGCAUUUGUUAAUGUCAAUUCAAAAUAUGUUAAUGCAUUUCAAAAAUGUCCUAAAAUUUUAAAAAUAGAUAAUGCCUGUUUUGAUAGUUUCUUUUUUUAUUUAAAUUUUUCCGUUCCAUUUUUGUUUACUUCUAAUUUAAAUAAUUUAGAAUUACAAAAGCAUUUGCAUAUUGAAAAUAGGAAUUUUGAAUUAAAAUGUUGACGAAAACAUAAAAUGUUUGUGGAUUCGAAAAAGGCACCGGAUUUUUAUAUUACAUUUUUGCAAAUUUCAAAACAAUGUCCGUGAAUUUAAUAAAUACAUUACUGACUUAUAAAAAUGUUUGUUUAUUCAAAAAAACUUCAUGCGUUUCAAAAAUGUUUGUGAAUUUAAAGUAAAUACUCCAACAUCUAAAAUUAUGUUCGCCUUUUCUAGAAUUGGUCGCCAAUUUAAAAGAAAAUAUUUAAACCCGUUCGAAAUAUAAAAAUAUUCAUGAUUUUUAGUAAAUGUUUGUAAAUUGUAAAAAAUGUUCUCGAUUUGAAAAUUGUUCUCAUAUUUGUAAAAUCGUCCAUGAAAGAUCUAAUGUGUGUAGUUAAACAUUAAUGUUUCUAAGUCUCUGUGAAAAUAUACCCGUGUGAUUUUUGAAGAAUUAACUGUUGGAUGGAUCGGAUAAUUAUUGUAUGUUUUCAAAAAAAAAUCUUGAAAUUAAGAAUAAUUCUUUGAGUUACCAAGAUUUUUGACAACCAUGAUUUUUUUUGAAAAUGUAAAGAUUGCUUUAACUUGUGAAUAAAUUUUAAAAAAGAAAUAUUUUCUUGCAUUUGUGCACAAAAUUUCAAAAUCAAGUGAUGAUGUGUGAAUAUAAUGUGGUCAUCAUCAUUGAAGAUUAUUUUUUUUUUCUUCCGUUGCAACGCACGGGCCAUUUUCCUAUACUAAUAAAGCAAACAAUGCUUCUGUCGUACGUCAUAAACAUUACCUCUAAAGUUGCUCAAAAUUACCCACUAUGCCAUCCAUAAUCAAAAGAAAACGGUUUUUUUUUUAUUACAAAUCGCUCCGUCCUGUACUGGUUUAUAAGAGGUUGAAGCGCUGUUUUGGCAACAAAGCUAAGCUAGCAUACUGGCGAGAGCGCGUCCCUUGUCCUGGCAUACUGGCGAGAGCGUGUCCCUUGUUCCCAGGACACCUGGGUUCGAAUGCAGGUUGAUGCAAUCAGGCAAUUUUUUUCCUUUUUUGUUUACCUUUUCUUCUUUUCUCCUAUCAGGCUGAUUCAAAUCAAAGCGAUUUUUGUUUAAUUAUUUUUAUUCUUCUAUCAAGCUGAUUCAAGUCAAGCGAUAUGAAUUAGGAGGAGAAGAUGAAAUGGACUAUUUGUCAAAGAGGCCAACUAUCUAUGAUAGGUUGUCAGAUUGUUUAUUUUUUUCCCUUUUUUGUUUACCUUUUCUUUUUUUCUCCUAUCAGGCGAUCCAAAUCAAAGCGAUUUUGUUUAAUUGUUUUUCUUCUUCUAUCAGGCUGAUUCAAGUCAAGCGAUAUGAAUUAGGAGGAGAAGAUGAAAUGGACUAUUUGUGGAAGAGGCCAACUAUCUAUGAUAGGUUGCCAGAUUGUAUACCACUAACUAGACCGCGAACAAUUUUUUUUUGCCCCAAUGGCCUCUGGAUUAGUUUAUCUUGAUUACUUUCACUCAUGUACGACAGUAUGCAUGCGAGCACAACGGCGCCCGACGUACACAACAUCGACCAGAUAUGCAUACAGAGUGGUUGCUGGAUGUUAAAUCUAUUUUCUGCUCCCAUGCGACACAUGGACAAUGGAAAUUUGAAUUGCAUUUUUAGGGUAAGUUCAUCUUUGUUUGUGUUGUAACUAAAUUUUUUUAGAUUAUAGAUCAAUUUUUAUAAAUUAAGAGUAUGUGGUAUUUUUUUCUUCCGUUGCAACGCACGGGCCCUUUUGCUAGUAAAUCAUACGUUUGUAACCAUCCCAACUGGUUGGUUUUUUUGCUUCCACCUUGAAGACCCAGGGUUCGAUCACCCACUCCCAGUCCUUCCUUUCGAAAUCUGUAAUUGAGUAGUACUCCUUCCAAAUUUCAUUUUCACCUUUUUAGGUGAAACAUGUGGCACAUUGCAUGUGUGCCAUUUGUUGCAAUCUAGAAGUUUUCUUUUUUCAUUGAUCUGAAUUUUUAAAAUAUUUUAUCUUCUAAACCGUGCGUUCAAAUCUCGAACCAUUUUCACUGUUGGGUUCAUCACGUCGUGAUCUUUAAAACUAGAUCCCAUAUAUUAUAGGUUUUGAUAAAAAAAAUUCACGAAAAAACCUGAACGGAAAAACCGUGCCUCUCCUGAUGGAAAAAACCAGAAAACGCGUUUUUUCUGUUUCUCACGUAAAAAAAAUACCGCGGUUUUUUCUGUUUUCGAGAGGCACAACCUUGCCUCUCACGAAAAAAAAACGGUCCGAGAGGCAUGUCCGUCCCUCCCACGAAUGCAAAAUCGUACCUCUUAGACAAGCAAAAUCGUGCCUCUCGUAAAAAAACACUUUAUUUUUUGUUUUCAAACCAUGCCUUUUUGGAAAGCGAAAUUGUGCCUCUUGCAAAAAAACACUUUGUUUCUUGUUUUCGCUCGCGAACGUAAAACCGUGCCUCUCGAGGAAGCAAAGUCGUGGCUCUCGCGAAAAAAACACUUUGUUUUUGUUUUUUCUCGCAAACGCAAGACCAUGCCUCUCGGAAAGCAAAAUCGUGCCUCUUGUAAAAAACACUUUGUUUUUUGUUUUCGCUCGCGAACGAAAAACCGUGUCUCUCGGGGAAGCAAAAUUGUGCCUCUUGCAAAAAAAAAUUUGCUUUUUUUUCGCUCACGAACGCAAAACUGUGUCUCUUGGGGAAGGAAAACCGUGCCUCUCCCAAAAAAUUCAGAAACUUUUUUUUUCAUUUGCCUUUUGCAAACGCAAAACUGUGCCUCUCAGGGAAGCAAAACCAUAUCUCUCGCAAAAAAAAACAGAAAUGAGUUUUUUCAUGCAAAAAAUAAUUUUUUGAAAAUAUUUUUCAUCGAAAAGCUAAGAAAGACCAGUGAAAAACGAAACCCAAAAAUAACUGAGAAAAAUAAUCUAAAAAACCAAAAACGCGUGUGAAGAAAUAAUAAAUGAAAUCGGAAGUAAAUGCUCAGGGCAUGAUACAUGAUGACGACUAAGAACGCGUCAAAUGAUAACAUGUGAGUAUGAUCACAUGAAAGGCUUUUAAAAAAAAUGCUCGCUAACUAGUUGCUCUCUCUUUUUCCUCAUCCUUUUCUCUAUCAGAAUCCGCGGCUCAGUGCACUGUCUCGCCGACUGGACAGCCCAACGCAGCUUUCAGAAAUAUCUACUUUUCAAGCCUAGAGAAAUAUCUAAUUUCUUUGACGUAUAUUAUUAAGAAUGGGCACUAAAUAUGGAGCAGAGUAAUUGCCUUCCUGUAGCACCUAGCUCGAACUACAAACAACAUGUUGGUCCAGGUUCGAAUCACACAUUAUAUAUUUUUCUCAUACAUACAAAACAUUUCUUACAUAUUCAUAUUUUUUUAAUUACACACAAAAUUGCAUAAAAUCUAGAAACAUUUAAAAAUAAUAAUCUACACAUUUUUUAAAUGUGUGAUUUUUAAAUGUCACAAACAUUUGUUUUGGUAGCUAUUACCUUUUUUAAAAGUUAUGCUGACAAAGCAUUUACACUGCAUUAACAUUUUCAAUUUUUAAUUUUAAUUAUUUAGAAGUAAAUUAAGUUUUUGGGUUAUAUGUAUUGAAAAUAUAUUUAAAAGUACAAAUAAAAAGAUAAGGUAUAAUGAAGAAACAUAAAAAUGGGGACUAACCUGAAAGUUGGUCUGACGCAUUAUUUGCAGUUGGGAGGGUGCUCCUUUAGUAAGACCUUCUUCGGUCUUGCUGUGACCGAGGCCUAGGCACUCUUAUCGACUAGGAGGUCUCACCGACUUUAUUUUUAGACGAGGUCUCAUGGACCUAAACAUCACACUGGAGAUGACGGACUCACUCGUGGCUUGGGUGAAUGGAAAUCAAUUUGUAUUCGUUUAUUUUCCUCUUUAUCCUCGACUCAUCUAGACAGCUAAACAACUAUUUUGAUGGCUCAAAGUUCUGCAGAAAACUCUGAUAAAGUUCACAAGUGUGAGAUAUAUCAUUUCACACUCUAUCUAUAUUUUCAAGGGAUAUUGGACUGGCAUUUGAAUCCAAGCUCAAUUAUGCCUCAAAUUUUGUUUUCAGUUGUGAGUAGGUGAAAUAUGGAUCCAAUAUUAAUGACAUUUUUAUUCGAGUUUCUCAAUAACAUAUUAUCCCCUAGAUAUAUUUUUUAUGAAAUUUUAUUAAUGGAAUCACCACCAAAAUAUAAUGGACAACUCGGCAAAUAUUUUAGUAUGAAUAACUAGGACUUGAGUCAAAUAACAAUACUAGUCCAAAUAAAUUGAAAUUAACAUGAGUGAUUAUUUUUGACAUGAAGGACCUAGUAAAAACAUUAGGCUGAUUUUUUGCUGCCAUUUUCUUCAAAAGACCCAUUUAACUACGUAUUUGAAUAUUUUAUGAGGUAUUAAAAUCAGGGGUGUAUAUAUGCAAGGAUGCCAUGAAAUGCAAGACACAUGAUGGAAACAAUCUUCCAAACAUAAGAUUUUACAGUGUAUGUCAGUACUCGCACCUCGAAUAUGUUGUAAACUCUCCAACUUAUAGAAAAAAGAGUAUGUUGUAAAGUUGGCAUGGGAAUGCCAUGGUAACUGGUGUAGACAAGUAUUUUUUUUAAAUCAGUCACCAAAGGAAUAGGAAUCCCCACCCGUAUAUUGACCUCAAUUUAAAAAGAGGUUCAUCUGGCUUAUGUGAGAAACCGGAUCGAAAACCAUCAAUCCAGUUCAUGAUAAAAAAAACUUGACAUACAUCCUGCCGAAGCAAGAAUACAGGAAAAAAACUUAUACAUAAAUACAACAAAACACAAAGAUCAACCACCUAAACAUGAUGUACACAUAAGUCAUUUAUUGAAGGCCCACGAUUUGCAGAUGGGAUCACCGCAUACAUUGUUGCAUGAAUCACUCAUACUGUUUACAUACAGCCGGGCCAGGGCCGGGUCAAGGCUAAUCUAAUAAUGCAUUCCAGAUUGAGUUGUUCUAACUAACAAUGCAUAUGGACGUGCAACUAGUUUACAAUAAGCGAAUCAAGAAUUCAAGGGUAUAGUCAGGGGCGAAGCUACCUAUAUGGCGUGGUUUGGCCAUCGCCAUACCUAACCAGCUAUACAAAUACUCGUAUAUAUACUAUAAUAGUAAUACUGAAUCACCCUAUUGGGUUGUGGACGUGCUAAUUACAGCAGAAGCCCAUCCCUGGCUGAAUCGAUGAAGCCCAUAGCCCCACAGACGAGUACAGGACACGAUUAAUCAGAUCACACGUUCUGCUAGCUAGGGUACGCCGCACAAAAGGGACACGGCCUGCACGCUGCAUGAGCAUCUGGGCAUCCGGUAAAUCAGCCACCGAAGGCUGUGGGCGCGAAGCUGGCGACCGGCAAGGCGACAAAGGGACUCCACGAGUCUGCGAUCAGCGAGGCAGCGACCGGCGGCGACGAGCCCACGACUCGGCGAGUUCCAAGUAUGCAAAUUAACUACUUUCAAGUAGACUCGCUGAUGACGCUAGACUUAAAAUACAGUCUUCCUCCUUUUCUUGAUCGCUGAAUCUCAUUUGCUUCAGUUUCAUCAGUAGCACUAGAGAAGGUGCUAGUUGCAGUCUGCAGAUGCCGCCGCCGCCGAAUAAGAGGGUUAAAUAUGUAAUGAAAGGUAUAAUUUAGUUUACUUCUUUCACUUGAUCGCAUCACUUCAACUAUGUCAUGUACUCAUGUUACUUGCUUGAUAACAUACACAACUCUUGUGUUUUCUUACAGAUUUAAAGAUUAUUUUUGCCAAAGCCAGUGGCACUAGCACCUCGAGCUGAGCUCCAACUUUGGAAGCAGCCAUUGAACAACGAGAAGAAGAGCGUGCGCCUCAAGAGAAUGUGCGGACUGAAGUUUCAACAUAUGUUCAAGAGGAAGAGAAUGAGGGGGAAAAUUAUGUUGAGGAUGAACCAAUAGCUAGAGAAGAGGGAGAAUGCAAGUUCAUUGAAGAAUUGCAUCCUGACCACAUCGAGCCUGAUCCUGGGCUUCGAGUUCCAAUCAAUAAUUUUCAUCCCAAUAUUAGAGAUGAAAUUAGAUUGGCAUAUGUGGCAAAGGGUCCAACUCGACCGGUUGGUCAUACUUAUGAACGUGAUCAUUUUGAGAGGGCCUUUCGUGAAGCGUGGUAUGAAAAAAAAUCCUUGGUUAGAAUAUAGCGUCAAAAAUAAUGCAGCCUAUUGCUUUUACUGUUUUCUUUUUAGACAAGAUCCGGUGGAUGAAAAAUUUGGUCAUACUACCUUCACGAAAGAGGGCUACAGUACUUGGAAGAAUGCAUACAAAGCAUUUCCUCUUCAAGUUGGUGGCCCUGGGAGUGUCCACAAUCAAGCAAGGACAGCAUAUGAAGAUUUCAAAAAUCAAAGUUCAAGUCUGGAGCGUAAGGUUACCAUAUAUAACAAAGAAUCAUUAAUCAAGUAUGAGACCCGUUUGGAAACAUCUUUGGGGAUUGUAAGUUUUCUUGCAUUGCAAGGUGAACCAUUUCGUGGUCACAAUGAAUCUGCCCUUUCUUUAAAUAAGGGUAAUUUUCUAGAGAUGCUUGAUUGGUACAAAGCAAGGAAGGAGGAAGUGAGAAUUGCGUUUGAUGAGCUAUGUCCAGGAAAUGCACAAAUGACUUCUUCAACAAUUCAAAAACAACUUGCCAAAAGUUGUGGAGAUGCGGUCCGAAGAGCAAUAAAACAAGAGAUGGGGGGUAACCUUUUUUCAGUUCUUGUUGAUGAAUCUCGUGAUAUUUCAAUUAAAGAGCAGAUGGCCUUGGUUGUGAGGUAAGCCACUGGUUACUUGAUUAUGUGUUUCAUAUUUUGCCUUAUAAUCACCUUUUUCUAAUUAACUAAUUGUACUAUUUCUUCUAUGCCUUACAGGUAUAUGAACAAGUGAGAAGUUAUUGAAAGAUUUUUGGGUAUCAAGCAUGUCAAGGAGACCACAUCAGAAGCACUAAAGAAAGCACUAGUUGAGGUUCUUGGUAAGAAUGGGCUACUUAUUGCAAAUUUACGAGGGCAAGGGUAUGAUGGAGCAUUUAAUAUGAGGGGAGAAUUUAAUAGUGUUCACAAACUUGUCCGAGAUGAAAACCCAUAUGCUUUCUAUAUGCAUUGUUUUGCCCAUCGAUUGCAGCUUGUAGUUGUUGCUGUCUCGAGAUGUUGUUCUUCCAUUGAGGAUUUCUUUGGAUAUGUGACGAUGAUUGUGAACGCCGCUAGUUCGUCUUGCAAGAGGAAGGAUAUAUUGCUUGAUCAACAACGCAUAAAUUUGUUGGCUAAGUUAGAGAGUGGAGAAAUUUUCUCAGGAAGAGGAAAAAACCAAGAAACAUCAUUGGCUAGACCAGGAGAUACAAGAUGGGGCUCUCAUUAUAAAACACUAGCCCGCAUUGAAUCAAUGUGGGAUGCAGUCAUAGAAGUGCUAACUAUUGUGCAUGAGGAUGAGCGUAAUCCCUCAAGGGCGGGAGGUUUGGUGCAGAUAAUCGAGUCUUUUAGCUUUGUGUUCAUCAUGAAGUUGAUGUUGCAAAUCCUUCGCAUUACAAAUUAGUUGUCACAACUCCUCCAACGGAAGGAUCAAAAUAUUGUUCAAGCUAUGUCUUUGGUUACAGAUGUGAAGUCUUCCUUGGCCAACUUGAGGAACCAUGGUUGGGAACCACUUUUUGAAGAUGUCAAGAUCUUUUGUAAUGUUAAUGAUAUUCCAGUACCAAAUAUGGAUGAAGUUGUACCGAGAUUCGGUCGAUCAAGAAAAGGAGGAAGAAAUAAUGUUACUCAAGAACAUUUUUUUCGUGUUGAUACCUUCUUUGCAGCGAUAGAUUCUAUCACCACAGAGCUUGAUCAUCGCUUUAAUGACAUGGCUUCAGAACUGCUUUGUGGAUUUGCUUGUCUUGACCCAAGAGACUCAUUUUCCAAGUUUGACUUGGACAAAGUUGCUAAGCUAAUAGACAUCUAUGAUGCAGAUUUCUCCAAUGAUGAUCGUAAGCGUAUAAAAAUUGAACCCGAGCUGUUCAUCAACCAUAUGAGAAGACAUGAUGACUUUAGAGUUUACCAUGAUCUUGCAACCCUAGCCAAAAAAAAUGUUCGAACUUGAAAAAAA